rnacentral:lncRNA from 1 species
ACGGGGGGCCUGCCUAUAUGGGUGAUCCUUAUCAAUUCCAAUAUCAUGCCCCUCAGCUGUUUAGUGAUGAGAAUCCAAAUGCUUGUAGUGUUAUGUGACUUUGUGUCUAAUUAAAGGAAAGGAUGGAUCACACGGAUAUUUUGGGCAUUUAGGGGAAGGCAUUAAAUGUAAAUAACAUAGAGGGAAGAAAUCUAUUAUGACGGGGUUUUGAAUGGAUGUAAGAUGGUGGCGAAUUAGAAUAUAUAUAUGAUGAUUGGAGGAGAAUGGCAGGUUGGGACUUGAGCUAGGUGCUCCAUUAGAUUAGUUUGGUUAAGAAUGAGGUUUAGGGUGGUUUGUUUUUGUUAAUCAUGAUUAUGACUCUGUAAUCUUCUACUACAGUCUAUGUAUGAUGCAAGUUAAUGCUACAGUACUAUUCUUUUUUUUUUUUUUUUGCAGAGUAGCUGGAUCUACUAACCUUUUGUUCUUAUUUGCUUAGGCUUUCAAAGAAGAGUUUUAGACCGGUCAUCCUUUUUUCUUUUUCUGUCACGGCCAUUAUUAUUAAGCUUGUUGGUUCCUCCAUUUUUGGCAAAAGGCAGUUGUCAGACUGGAGUGGUUUGUUGAGCUAUGAAGAGUAUUUGUGCGGGUGGUGACUAAAUCUGUAGUUGCCUCCACUGAGCAAAACCGAAUGAUUUGCAGACGAAAAGGAAAGUAGUGUAGUGUAUAGCAAUGGGGAACCUCUUUAAUAACUGGUUCUGGGUUGUAACAUGAGCAAGUUGUAAUUCCUCGAAAACGUCCAACAGCAAGACAUUAGUAUAUGCUUACUCGUGAAAUAGUAGUAUGUCUGCGCAUGAUGAUGCAUUGCGUUGUAUUUGCCUCGGAUCCUUCCGCGUCACUUCCCAGUCAACAAUACCGAUCAUCAAAUCAAAGAUAUAAGAAAUUGGAAAUUUGAGGACUGUGGUUGAUGUUACUCGAUUUACACGCGUAAGCCAUUUAAACCAGUAUCUGAAAUCUCUAGAGAUAGAAAGAGCGUUUGAUGGGACAUUGUUUAAACCAGUAUCGUGACUUCUAGUUCAUUCUGAGCCAAAAGCAAAAAGGGCCCAUCGGAUAAUAAUAUGAUAUGAUCGACGAUACCUGAGAGAAUUGUACACCGUAGUCCAUAUGCACGCUCGAAAUUGAUCAUUCAGGUCAGGAAAAUUUGUUUUGCCUUUGCGUGGAAACAAAAUACUUAUGUAAAGCUAAGUUUGACCAAAAAAAAAAAAAAAAAAAUGUAAAGCUAAGCGGAAGCUAUUAGUAGUAUUAUCAUUAAUGUUUUUGGUGUCGAUUGGUUAAUAUUUGCUUACAUGGUGAUGUCCACAUUAAUUCUAAGGGUGUAACUUAUAACCUAACCCAAUAUUUUGGAUGGAGCAAAAGAAUAGGGGAUUUCCAGCAGAUUUCACGUCAUAAGACAACUUUGCCCUUCCUUACAUUAAUAAUCAUUACUUCGACUAAAUCUUCUAGACCCCAUGACAAACCCUUUUUUUCCUUUUCCUGUUCCCAACAAAAAAUUUUUGGUUCUUGAUUAUCAUCAUGAUCGCUACAACAAUAAAACCGCCAUCUAUCACUGCCAUAGCCAUUAACCUCCGACCCAACUUUAUUUCAAAAAUUCAACAAAAGCUUCAAAAAUUCUUUUUUCCCUAAUAAUAUACAAAUUCCCUAAUUGAAUUGAAAUUGACAAAUUACCCCUUUUAACUCUUUUUUUUUCCAAUCAAAUCACAUACAAAGUUCAACACAUAAAAGGGUGAUCAUUAAAUACAUGGGAGAAAAAAAAAAAAACAAAAGUGUCUUUCUUAUGGAAUCCACUUGUUUGUUCUUUCUUCACGAUCAUAGAUUUCAAUUCUAGAAAAUGAGAAAAGAAAAAGAGGUGAUAUGCAUAAUUGGAAGAUAUUGCUAGUCGCCAGUAGGCGUGAGAAGAAGAAACAAUUCACGGUACUAUUUGGGGUGUUAAUGAUUUAAUUGUUUGGGAGCAAGAAGAAGAAAGAUGAUAAGCAUUGUGGGUAGAGAAUAGAUAAUGAUUGAUAGAAAAUAGACAAGGGAUGAUUAAUUGAUUGGUGGAAUCAUGAGGAACAAUUAAAAUUUCGGAGAGUUUCAUUUGAAGCCUCAAAUUUCGAAAUUCAAUUGCAAAACCUAAGUAAGAACAAAGGUGCCUCGUGCACAGAAAUUUGCUCUAAAUCCGGAUCUAUUUUUUGCUCUGACAAUUAUAUUUUGGAUUCCUGUUUCCUACACCUUGAAAUGAAACAGAAUCUCUAUGUUACAGGCAUGUUAACAAAGUGGAAAUGAUUAACCUAAUUGUUGACCUCCAAAAAUGAUUAGGAUUUGGUUCAACUUCAACAAAAGGGGGAAUGAAUCCGGCAGUUGAACGUGGGACGGAAUCAAGUCCGGAGUUGAUACGAGAAGACGGAGACAAUUUCUGAGGAGACGGCAAAUUGGAAAGCGGCGGAGGAAACAUGCAUGGGUCCCACCUAUUCAUGGUGACACUUAUGUGAUGACGACGUUGACCCUGGCCCCCUUUCUUUAACAAGUACGUACUACUACUACUACUCAAAUACCCAUUCAUUCAUCAGCCAGGACUGGAGAUCUAACUAAAGCAGUUGCACAUUGCACAUGUCAUAGGUUGCAGGCCAAUGCCACACACAAGUAGUGUGUUUGAGCCUCCAUCCAUGCGAGAAGAAUUAUGUCGGUGGAUAAUCUGUAAAGAUUUUAUAUUAAUGGUUAAUUUGUAAGAAUUUAUUUAAAUAAUUUAUAAUUUUGAAAGUAUGCUCAAAUUUGAGAACACGGUCAAACUCUUGAUAGUUUUUUUUUUUUUUUAUCACAGUGGAUAUCUGGGUCCGUGGACUGGUUACCGUACGACCCAACUAAUCCCACUACGGGUUGGGAGAGGCCUGCCCCAAGCGUCACCAGCUACGGUCAAACUCUUGAUAGUAAUCUAAGUUGAACUUGACUAAACUGUAUCCUUAUAUAUAAGAGUGACUUUCAUCAAAGGGCGGUUUGAAUUUCAAUUACAUGAAUAGGAGUUUUUUGAAAAUAUAAAAUAUUGUAUAACUUUUUAAAAACUUUUGAUGCAACUUAAAGACAACAUGUGUUUGAAUGUGUUUAUCGAAAUGUCCUCAUUUUGAUACAUUUAAAGUUUUUAUUUAUGGAGACAUUUGAGUAUUUCUGGAAUAUGAAACUACUUUACAAUAAUUUUUGCAUUGAGUACAAUUUAUAUAAGUUUAUGUGUUGGUGUAAUUACUGAAAUAGUGUCAUAAACGCAUUUAAUUGAAGCGUGGCUUUUGCUGUGCAAUUAACACAAAGACGCAUUGCUAUAAUUAACGGUUGAAUGAUGUUCUUUUGUUUGAAAUAACUUAUGUUUGCUCUUGGAGGAAUUUUAACCAACAUCUAUAAGGAACUUUUGGAAAUGAUAAAAUUAUAAAAGUAUUGAUAAAGUAAGGUGUACAAAUAUAUGCUGCAAUUAAAAUGUAUUAUUAUUAAUUUCAUUAUAUUUAAUGACUAUUUCUUUUUAAAAUAUAUUAUUAUUUGUCAAAUAAAAAAUUCUCUUUAAUUACAUGCACAAAAUACUCGCGCGAUCCGUGGGCACUUUUUCGUUAAUAUUAAAAUAAGAAAAAGAAAAAGAAGGCGUAGGCCAAUGCCAUCAUGGGCAUUAUAUGUACAGGACAUGUAACCAUAUUGUUUCUGAUGACAUGAACUCCUUGGCAUGCAUUUAUUCUCUCAAUGAUUUAGAUAUAAAAGGAAGCUUCCGGAAAGAGGGGUAAAAGUAAAUUUAGUGGAAAGUAGUUGUCUUCUUGUUUGGACAGAUGCGUUAUACAAAGGGUUGGAUACUUGGGUUCAUCUGUUCAUCAAUCUUAGGGUUUGUUUGGAUUGUGGUUUAUUCGUCAAAAUAUAUUUAUUUAUAUCAUCGUUACAAUUUUCAACACGCCUUUUUAUCUUUUCAAUUACAUUUUUAUCUCACAUACAUCACAUCACAAAAAGUGUUACAGUAAAAAUAUCUCUAAUAAUUCACAAUCCAAACAAACCCUUAGUACUUGUGUUCUAAACUAAUAAUAAUGUAUACAGUAAAAGGAAGGUUCCGUCUAUGGUGGAAAGGUGACUCACCUAUGCAUGGUGGGAAGAGCAAAUGAAAUUAGGACAACACAUCACCGUGGGCCUAGGCAAAGCAAAGUUAUUAAAAGUAAUGACCGGAACCGGGUAGAAGAGGUUUCAUACGAGAUGCAUUGUACUUUUAGGAGAAAUAACAUGUACGCCCAUCAACAACUUAUGGGCAUUUGUACUUUUUUUUUCUAAACGAUAUUUUAUGGGCAUUUGUACAGGCAUUUGUAUGCACCUAAAAAUUGUCAUUAAUUCGGGAGUAGCUUCCCAUGCCUAAUUGACAGGAAAUAAGUUGCAAAGAGCAGGAAAAGUAGGAAAAAUUGGUCCGAUGCAAUAAUCCUUGGAAUACGCAAAAAUGAAACUAUGUGUACUCCAAUUUUAAUUUAUAAAUGGUUACUUGACAAAAAAAAUUAUGACAAUUUAAAUUUAAUUGUUAAUUGGCAUAGAUGAGUAAUUAUAUACAUAAAUAAUUAAAAGAAAUUAAUUUUAUAUAAAAUUUAUUUUUAUGUAAAUACAUUUAUUAAAAAUUUAUUUAAAAAAUUUUGGUUUAUAAGGUUAUUGUAAUUUAUUAAUUACAAUAUUUAGGGUAGUUAUGCAUAGUUAUAUUGGCAAAAUGUGAUUAAGUAGUCAAAGCAAAAAUUAGUUUUUUUUUAAGAAUAAAAUUGAAAGUUUAAAAAAUGACAUAAAAAAGUUUACAUUAAUUGGGAUCCCUCUAACUUUAUAUAUUGCAUAGAUAGUGGCUUUUUAACUAAAAUAAAAAUUACAGAAGAAAUAUUAGAAACAUAAUAGUAUUUCAAGAAACUAGAAUCAUGGCAUUAUUGACCUGGUAGAUUUUAAUUUAAAUUUAGAAAUUAGAUAAGCAAUCUUAUACAUAAUAUGAUGAUUUUCAAAUCGAUAUCGAAUUUGUAGAUGAGUAAUCAAAAACACAAUUAAAUAGUACUCCAGGAAAUUAGAAUUGAGAUUGUAGAUAAAAUAAUCAUAAACAUAAAUCACAUAAUGCAAAUGUUUCAAAGAUUGAACCUUUCAGCUAUUGCAAUAACUAGAUGGUUAUCAAUUUAAAUCCUAAUUUCGCAACUAGUUGUAUUGGACAUGAUAGACUAUAAAAUCACAAAUUUGACUAGUAAAAUAGUGUCAAAAUUUGAGAUUUUUUAAUAUAUUAGCAUUAUCUAAUGAUAAGGAUAACCAAAUUAUAGUAAAAAUCAAAGUUCACUCUUAAAAGUAAGUGCUAAAUUUAAAGAUUUUGUUGUGAUAUGGAUUAUCUAAUGAUAGCAAAUCCAUUGAAACAUGUAAAGCAAUGAUAUAUAGAUAAAUAUCAAUUACAAUCCCACGUUCAAAUUAACAUAUUCUAGCAUUUUGAUUCGUAAUAUGCAUCGAUUUAUAUUUCAUUUCAAAAUAAUAACAAAUAUUUAUACAUUGCAGUACAUGAUAUAGUAAAUGAAAAAGAUCCUUUUGACCCAAUGCAACGUCCCCAAUUAUUUUAAAACGGCGUCUUUAUCCUUUGGGAACUCAAAAGACAUUUUUGUUUAGCAUGUACAAGAUUCAUUAUCUCACUUUAAUUUAAUGUUAGGUCCCAUUUGUUCUACAUUAUCAUGAAGUGUGUGUCUUCUAUCUAUUUAUCUAAAUAGUUUAAAAUAUAUCAAGUUCAUAUUGAAUUGACAAUUUUUAAGCACCCAAUGAUUUAUUAUCGCAUAAACUUUCUUAGGUAUUAUAUUAUAACUAGUGCUUAUGCACAUCCAAUGCGUGUGCAAUCAAAAAAUAUAUAAUAUUUAUGAUCAUAUAUUUUAAACAAAAUUUUUAUUAUCAAAACAAAUUUUAAUCUUUUAAAUAUUUUUCAUAAAAUAAUUUUAUGUAAGUAGUUAUAAUAUUUAUAGGUAGUUAUGUUGAAAACAUAUAUUUAAAUAGUUAAAAGUAAAAAUAGUCAUGGAUAGUUAUAGGCAGUUAAAGUAAAAGUAGUUUUUAUGAGAGUAAAAAGAAAGUUCAUUGUUUUAUAGGAAAAAAAGUUAGAUCCCAUUUGUAAUUAAACAAAUGAUCAAAUUCAUAUUCAUUUUUGCACUUAAACAAGCCAAAUCUAACUUGAAACCAUAUUCAUUUUUGUCCAUUCAUAUUUAUUUUUGCCACUAAAAAAGUAAAAUCUGACAUUUUUAUAUAUAAAAACUAUUGCAUAUGAGUCAUGUGGUGAUUUUAGACUAAAAAGUGGUUGAAACGUAGGUUAGCACCAAAUUUUGUGAAAUUGAAUUUGUAAAGAAUAUAAAGUUAAAAUUUUAAAGGUGGAAGAUGAAAAAUUUAUUUAACAAAAUAUGAAAGACAUUUUGAAUGAUUUUUUCUAAAAAUAUUUAUUAUUUAGUAUGCAAGAAUUGAAUAUUUUUCAAUUAUAAAUAUUUCUUAUUAUAAUAAUUAACAAGAAACUAAUUUCAUAACCAUAACCCCAGUUGGUACCAACAUGGCAUGUUAAGCUCGGGAUCGUAAUUCUGAAUACCCGACUAGUAUGUUAAGCGCAUUGUUACUUGUUAGUAAUAACAAAAUUCAGGUUUUGACGCAAAAAUGUCAUUAAUUCACUCGGAUUUCCAGGUUCCAUCCAUCAUCAAGGCCAGGUUUGUUAAGCCAACCCUACAGCCGGUUGCCUUAUUUGAAUUGGGCCCCACUUGACAUGUGAAAGAUGUCCACGCUGCGCUGUCUUGUUAACACUUCUUCUGCCCACGGUGGAGAGUUCACUCUACUUUCCACAGUAGAAGCAACCGUAAAAGGAAUAGGUGCACGCAAACUUAUUUCAUAAACUUAACCAAUUUUGAAGCUUAAAAUCUCCGGAAAGUUUCAAAAUGUUUGGCUUCAUUAGUGUGUGUGAAUAUUUUUUGGCUUAAUCAGUGCAAGUGUCAGUGGGACAAAGCCAAGAAUAUUCUACCUACUCAAUAUAUAUACUCAUAUACAUAUAAUAUAGUAAGUAAUAAACCUCACUCGGAUGGUAGCACAACUUUUUUUAACAGAGAGUCUCAAGACCAUGCAAUGCUCAUAAUACGCACUCCAAGCACACAGCUUGCUGCUCUAAAGAGAAAAGGCAAUUAAAUUUGAUGGAACUUUUGUUAAUCUAACCCUUUGAGACAAGAAACAAAAGAGAGUUACGUUUGAUUAGAUUCCAAAUCCAUGUGAUUGUGGGGCUUUCCUCAUUUGCUGUGAUGAUGAUUACCACUGAGCUCGAUCCCAUGUGGGGUUAUGAUGGAAAGAGCUUGAUAACCAAAGAACCAACGUGACGGUAAAGGCUUAAUUAAAGACUUCGAAAGUCCACCCAUUCCUUUUCUUCUUUCCACAAAGCUGGUUUCAUUUUCUUUUUACUCUAUCUACUACUACUAGUAUAAAAUAAGCCGGACUAAAGACGCUUUUUUGGCCAUCAAGAAAAAUAUGGUACUGUUUAACCUUUCCUUACUCGGGCGAAAAAAAGACACCCAUCCAUCCAUCCUAGCUUAUUAUUUUACUGCUCUUAUGGAUUUGAUAUUACAUGACAAUCGGAUACAAUUAUUCAUUAUUUUUUUAGUCUCUAAAAUAAAAUGGAAAAGAAAAAGAUAAAACUGUAGAAAUAAACUACUGUUGCCAUCAUGUUGUGUACUUGAACCUUCACACGAAGCCGGAAAAUGGGAAAACAAUGGUGGAUAAGCUGAAUAUGCAGCUGUCCCUCCUCCACUCAUGACUCAUGCUCUGUUCUAUUCACAGCGCAAAAGUCCUGGAAUCAAUUGGUACCAGUACCACACCCGCCUUUGUCUCUUCCUCGUCCUUUCUUUUGUUCUUUCCUAUUUCGCUUUUGUGGUGUUUUAGUGUGGGCUUUUGUAAAACAACCUGAUCCUGCAUCAAUUAGUCAAGAGUCAAGACUAGCGAAAGCUAAUCAACAAAAGAUCCUAGCUAAAGCCACUCACUCCAACUCUAAUUGACUUUUUUGAGAUAAAAACCGAUUCUAUUCUUUAAUAGGUUUAAGGGAACUAAACUACCCUUUCAUUUUUCUUGGUUUGAGGGAAAUUUUAACGCGCUAUUUUACUUGAAUGAACUAACUGAGGUCUUUAGUUAAUAUUAUUAUGUGUCUGUAUGAGGUUCCAUGCUUCUUUUGUUUCGUCUGUUUCUUCUCCCAAGAAACUUCAAGAACCGACUGCUAGUCUUCUUCAGCUCCAGCGUCUAUCUUUUCUCGAGUAAUUUGAAUGCCAAACAAUCUAAAAUUGUUUGGAAAGCUAUUAUUCUUCUUUGAAAAAUUUUAAUGUACACGUUUCUCGAUUAUCUUUUUAUCUUACGCACAUCAAAUUAUUACGACGUAUAUUUCUAUCCCAAAAAAAAAAAACACUCUAGAAAAUUGUUUAGGGACUGUAAUAUGUUUCCACAUUAAUAGAAUUUUCUUGACAAAAUUGUGGGCUAUGAACUUCGCCGAAGGCAUCAUUGCUGACUGAUCAUGAAGCAUCAUGAUUCUCACAAAACCUCAGCUUUACCCUGAAAAGGAGUUUCUACGUGAAAUUUUCAGGAAAGGCAUCAUUGUACUUGAUGGUUGGAGUUUCUACGUGAAAUUUUCAGGAAAAGCAUAACCAGUAAAAGGGGUCCUUGCGGCCAUUUUUUUUCCAAUCCCAUGUUCCACCUUUCUUCUAGUUACAUCACUAACCAAGAAAUAGAAUGCCAAGGGAAUCAUCAAAUUGGACUUUUGGUAAGAUUUGGAAUGAGUUUAAAGUGUGCCACUUUUCCUGACGUGGAAAAAAGCAAACAAAUUAUUAGGUUUGUGGCGCUUGCACGGGCGGAUAGCCUAUCAAACUUUUAUUAUGUUUUCAUCCUCAAAUUUGAUGAUGAUUAAUUUGUUUUUUCUUCUUUUGGAAGGAAACAGUGGCAAUAAUGGUGGGGGAAGGUUGAUGAUUAGCUUUAAUACUUUCUAGAUUUUCAGUGAACAACGAUUUGGGAAUGGUAGAAUAUUGCAGCGUGAGGGUUGUUUAUGGACUCGAUCGUCUUAGAUUAGAUGCAUAGUCGAAAUACACAUCACACAGCCUGAAAUGCACCUUUCUUGUCUCUCUUUAGUUGGAUUCUUGUAGCUUCGUUGCUUGGUAGUUGGUUCUAUGACUCACCCACCGUCUUAAGAUAUUUGUAGGGCUUACUUAGCUCCUGUACCCCCGGAGGGGUUGGUUGGUUGGUUGGGGACGCACUGCAAACAAAUAUGUUUCGAAAUUAAAAAAUUAGCUCUUAAAAAGUUAACUAAUGAUCCAUUAAUUAAUGAUUGCUACAGAUUAAGUAAUCCAUUAAUUCCAGAGAUUAGGAUCUGCUCUUACGGAAUUUCUAAACAAUAGGAAUCAAAGUCACUAGGUUUGUAUAUGUGAAUGUUAAAUGAAGAUCUGACUACAAAGACAAACAAAGUGUAAUUUAUUUGAUAAGAUUUUUUUACUUGUAAUUGAGAUACGACGAGUUCAAGUAAGUAAAAAAAAAAAAUACGUGAAGAUUCACUACUGUUAAUUUUCUUUCUUUCUUUUUUAAAAGAAGAAGAAGGAAAAAAUACAAACAGUUUUGUGCGAGGACCACCUUUUAUGUAGAAUCAUGUCUAGUUACAGUCAUGUCAUCCCAAUCUUAGAAACGGGCAGCAAAUAGCCUAGUAGGUUUCCACCUCUGUUUUAUUUCCGACUCAAAUAUGGACUUAACCGGAGGACCACCCUUGUGGCAAAAGACGGCAAAGGUCAUGUCUGUCAUCUGCAGAAUUUUGUGCCUCACAUUGGCGGUCCAUCAUCUGCAUCUUAAUUGUCUUUGGGUUUCCCAAUUCUGUCGCCGGAAAUAUUCCCUGCCAGGCAUUUAUAGACCAUGGCCCUCGUUUCAUUUAUAUCGAACCUGUUGCUGAGUGUUCAUGAUUACGAUAGGCAAUGCAAUUUGGUUGAAGCUCUCUACUCACAGUUUCAUUUAUAUCGAACCUGUUGCUGAGUUUCAUUGAAGCUCUCUACUCACAGUUUGCUUAACCGUACCCAUCCCCAAACCACCCUAGUGAAAAAUGAAAAAUGAUAAGACAAUAAGAUGCUAGCCUCCCGGCAAAAGAGUGUAAACUCUACAAUCUGCCUGGAAUAGAUAUUAAGAGGACAAAAUCCACUAUCAACGGAUUCACAUAGAUGGCCAACAACUUCUUGAUAUUAUAACGUACAGAUUUCGUUGAAAGUGCUUCCUCUCUCAUUGUUAAGUUCAGAAUUAAAUUCAAUUCUGAUCUACAGAUGUCACCUGUGACAGUCACAACAAGUAAAGAGGACAAUCUCCCUCUGUCAUGUCACAAGUGCUUGAGCAUGUAUACAAACUAACUAUCAGGGAAGUGAAGGGUUGGAAGUUGGGGCUCUAUCGUCAGUGAUAACUUGAACGAGAAUUCUGAUUGUCAUCGUCGUCGUCGAGAAUAAGUUUGACUCCGUUGUUCUUGAGGGCAUUUACAACAGACCAGACUUUCGUCCGAUUCUUGAAACCUUUUUUCUCAAUUUCCUUGUUCACAUUGACAUGGAUUCCAUUUGCCUGCCUUGUUCAAGGCCUUCUACUCUAAGUCUCAUUGCCAAUACUUCUCCAACAGUUGAUGCUGCCUUAGCAUUGCAAGAUCGACCGCAUUCAAGCGUAUUUUUGAGCGCAUGUUCAACUGUUGAUGCUGAUGCGACUAUGCGUCCACUGUUUCGGUCCACUACAUUUGCAGUGACGUACUUCAGCGAAAAGAACAAUCUUAAGACAUACCUCUUCAUAACAGUCAUCACGUCAAGAAAAGCGACCUAUUCAGAAGACGUUCAUUAGACAUUACACAUUAUAGGCUUCUAGCAGAGUGGACAAACAAGAAAAAUAGCAAGGAAAAGAUCCACUAUCUUUAUCUUUGAUGUAUGCAAUUUUACAAAAUGGCAUGCCCAGAAGCAGCCUAUUGUGAAGCAUCAGAGAAAAAUGGAACACUUCUCAGGUGCCGUUUAUUGAAAUCUUUAGUUCUUAAAAACAAGAGUUAUGGCUCAUGUGAAAAGAUAACUAACUUUGUUGUUCAGAAAUGAGCAACUGAUUAAGUGCUCUUCAGUGCUUACAACAAACAAAGGAAUUCUAACAUUUACACUUACAAGAUGUAAUUACAACAAAUAUUUUUGUUUCAAGAAAAAUGUCAUGAAGAGUGGGCCUAGAGAAAUAAAGGUAGACAUCACAGGUUCUGACAGCCAACUGCAAAUCCAACAGAACUCUGCACUAUUUAAGUACUUAAGGAGUCAUUGUGGCAUUUUACUCUAGCUUCUUUAGCUCCAAUCUCUAAUAAGGCCAUGGUAUAAUGUGCUCUAACUUGGAUGGAGGAGCUACAAGCAAAAACUAAUUCAGGACAAACUUUUAAAGAAAAUGUUGAAAUAAAAGAUCAAAUCUGGUACCAUGUUUGAGAAGCAAAAGAAAUUAACAGAGCCCUAUAAUCUUCACAUGAAUUUACAAACAUCUUAUUAAGUAGCAAGUAACCAAAAUAAAUUUGAUGCACUGAAACAAGAUCAAACAUUAAUGACUUCUCAAAUAUGGUACAAUAAUUAUAAUUAUUAAGGCCAACAUACAACGUGUUUAACUAUAGUAGAUUGACUUGAUUACACAAGUUGAUUCCUAAUUUUUAUCUCACACCACGAGAUCCAAUGAUGACAUGACUAUGCAGUUACUAUUGUAUUGGCCCAAAACCUUGCUAAUUUUGAUCUUUAUGGUGCUACCUGUAUCAAUUAGAUCCAGAGUCAUGCUAUGUCAAGUUCAAAAUACAAUACUGCCUGUAAACAAUCGCCCCAGCCAUGCUUCUAAGGAAACAACUAAUAUCUAAGCAACGCAAUUAUCCAGUAACAUUUGAUCAAACAUCUCAAGUGCACCGCCUGUUUUGUGAUCCUUAGACAAAACCAUCACCUUCCCAUAACUGAAAUUUUGCAUCUGCCAGAAACAGAUCGAAAAGGAAGUACAUCUUAUAUACGAUUAAAGACCAUCAUCUAUGUGCUAUCAUUUGAAAAGUAAAAGAGAUGAUAUUCUUCUUGGUGCAAGUCAUGCAGCAGAAAUUAACGUAGCAGGUCAACUACUGGAUGGAAAGUGAUGGAUCUUUAAAGGAAAAUGAAGAAAAAACUUAAGAAAUUAUAUGGGAAAAGUAGUGCCCCAAAAAUGGAAAGAAAUGAACAUCCUGCCUGUGUUUGAGAAACUUAAAAAACUAAUAAGGACCUCCAAGGUUGACAAAAGGACAGAUCUGUUUUGGCUGUGUACGUUUGGGGAAUGUAUUUGUGAUUUUGCUGCCAGAGAUCAUGAUGCAUAAGAAAGAUUAACAUUGUAACUGAGACAGGUGAAGUACUCUUCUCUAAAAUUCAUGUCCGUAGCUUAAGCACUUCUUUUCAUAAACAAAUUUAACAGAAGAAUGAAUCCAAAAAUCAAGCUAUCUUACGAGUUCAAAUGUGAAUUAACAUCAGCAAUUUUUUUAAAUUAAUGCAACAGCCUUUCCAACAAUGCUACCUUAUGUUAAACUAUCAAUUUCCAAGUCCCAUUCCCUGCACAAGAGAAGGUAGAGGGGGAGAGAGAGAGAGGAGUUUUUCUUUUUUUUGGGGGAGGCUUUAUGCUUUCAAUAGCAAGACCCCCUAUACAACAUGUUUUGUUUUAAUAAGAAGAAUCUGCAACUUCCUGUAAUUCUGGUAGAGAAGGAUUAUGCUUUUCGUGAAAAUCACACACACACACAAAAGCAAAGGGAAAUAGCAGCAAAGGCUGAACUCAUUUCUGAAAAGACUUGGGUCAUGGCAGAUACCACUAAAAAGAAACCAUAUACAGCUUCCUAGCAACCCUGUAUAUCCAAACUCGACUAACUAAAUUAUCAGGACACUGGCCUUCUUUUAAACCAGAGCCAUGUUGUACAGAAGUACGACACCACCAUAUCGAUUCUUAUGUUCAAGCACAAGCACUGCAGAUUAACCAUUAGUGCUGUCAAAGGUUACGCAUUAGUCAUCAACCCUCCACCUAUCAAAUCCUACAGUCCUUCUUUGAGGUUGCUAAUCCAGAACUAUUGCGGCUAACCAUACAAGAAGGAAGAGAAAUGAAAUCAGACAAAAUCCAAUUAAAUUUCUGACAGCACGAAUUACUACAGCAACGAAACUAAAUAGAUUUAAUCAGCUCCAUGACACAUUCAAAAUCAACACUUGAAUGCAAUAAAAUUAACAGUCACGGCAAAUCAACAAUAAUAACAAUAAUCAAUUAUCAAGUAAGAGUCAGAGAAAUUGAUACAUUAAGAAAUGCAAUAAUAUACUGUUCCCAUACCUUAGUUUAUGCAAUUAUGGAGUCUUCUUAUUUCCCAUCAAACCAUCCAAGAAUCACCCUUAAGAGGAAACUUUAGAUGGGUUCCCUACAAAUUUUGAGUGGAAAAUUUUAAUAUAUUAACUAAUAGGACAACUUGAAUUUGGGAUAGCAGAUAAGUGGGGCAAAGUUAAAAAAACACAAUAAUACUAAUCAAUAGCUAAAUGAGCAGGGUCACUUACUGAAAGGUAGUCACCGCCGGCUUCCUGACGUCUGCCGAAGGUUCAAGAAAAAAAAGUAUGAUUCUAAGAAGAGCAACGGAGUUCUGGUACGAGGAUGGGAUAGCUUUCAGGUAUUUUCCUGUGUUACGUGAAGUCGCGAUUUUGAAUUAAAAAAAAAAAUAAACUGGGUCAUUUUUGUCAGAAGAGUAUAUGCAACCCGAAUUUUUUUAAAAUGACCGGGUUAAUUUUCGCUACCCAUUGGAACCGAAUUUGCAACUUUGAUCAUGGUUUCAUUGACAGUGAACUCGUUGUCCUUGGUAUUACCUCUAAUUUCUACGUAACCAAAUGUCGAAUUAGUGAUUUUUUUAAUGAGUUAAUAUUUUUAUAGUCCAAUGUUUUUGCUGAUUUUUAUUUUAUAUUUUUAGUAUUAAAAUUAACAAUAAAUUAAAAAGAAAUUGUCCAAAAUCACUACUAAAUUAUGAUAAUUUUACUAUUUAAAAAAUUCAUAAACUUUGAAUGAAUUAUUUUGACAUUUUCUUUUUUAUGUUAUAAAUCUAAAUCUAAAAUAAAAUACUAUCAAAAGUAUCCUAUUAUAGUGUUAAAAUUAUCAUUAUAUUUGUUUAUCAAAUAGUAGGUAUAGACAUGAAAAAUUUGACACAUUUUCCUUAUAAUUAUACUAGAUAAUCUUAUAAUUGUAUAGGAAAAUAAAUAAAUUAGAACUCAUUACAUAAGGGCAUUUUUUGGCUAUUCAUUUAAAAAAUUGACCAAGCAAUAUUAUUUUAAGAUUUUAUUAUUAAAACUAUCAAAUCAAGAGAAGUAGCUAUAAUUUUUCAAAUCUUAGGGGAGGUUUUUGAAAUUAUCCCCAAAUUAAAUGGGUAUUCAUUUGAUCACUAUGGAUGUUGAAUUUAAGAUCAGAUUUCUCUAGCUAGUAUGCAUUUGAAGUACCGGUUAAUGCAUCUAAAAUUUAUCUAAUAUAUAUACAUACUAAUAAUUAUUAUUCCUCGACCUAUUGUAUUUGUAUACUUUUCCUAUUAAAUAUUACUUGUCAUCCUUAUAUUUAUUUAUUUUUUCUAUUUAAUUAUAUAUUUUCAAAAUAUGACACUUGAAAUAUAUUUUAAUGAGUUAUGGAUAUCAAUUAGAUAGAACUAAUAUAUAAUUGUCGAAAUAAUGAAAUUUGUUAUAUUCUCACAUCUCAAUUUAUCACUUUUUUCAAUUGCUCUAGUAAGAAAUGGACAAAAUCAGCACCAUGUCAGUUUACUCUUGGGAAGCUUUUUUGACAUGGGAAUAGUUUUCAUAAUUCUAAAAUUCAAAAAAAUUUUCAAAAUUUUGGAUAUCGAUUGAGAUUGCAAGUAAGUGAGAAAUAUAUGAUAACACAUAUCACCAUCCGUUAAAAUUCAUCACUCAAUCCAAUUUUUUUUUAAUGCCUUUUGAUUUGUCCACUUUCGUUCAUUAGUUCACAAAGGCACGCACUGCGCCAAAAAAUUCGACGUGCAUUGAGAACAGGAAAACACCAAGUGUGUUUGGAUUGUAAGUUAUUUGAAAUAUUUUUACUGUAGCACUUUUUGUGAUGUGAUGUAUGUGAGAUAAAAAGGUAAUUGGGAAGAUGAAAAGGUGCAUUGGAAAUUGUAAUGGUGAUGUCAGCAAAUAUAUUUGGCCAAAUAAUUGGCUGUCCAAACACACUAACCAUUAAAUUCUAAAAGAAGUCUCAUAGUGUAAAUAAUUAAACCAUUGAGCCAAAGUUGAGUCGCCACCAAAAAGAGAUUAAAUCUCUCUUUGAGCUGUAAGUCAGGGGUUCGAACUCCACCUACAGUGAAAAAAAUUUAAAAAGGGUUCCAGAAUACUCAUUUACUCUAAUCAGAUUUGUAUACCCCAUUACAUAAUCUCUUUAGAUUUCCCCAUAUCUGCCCAGAAUGGGAAUGGGCUAGGGUUACGAACUUAUAAUCGGAUGAUCAAAUUAAUUACGUGAUUAUAAGUUCAUUCCAUAUUGGAUAGACCUAGGAUGGAGGCAGGGCAUUUCCCAUUUUUGUAGGACCUUCUGUACUAGAAACAAUAAUGGUAUCUCCAAUUAGAACCGAUCUAGGAUGUAAAACAUAUAAACACAUUAUUAAAAUAGAAUAGAUUUAUUGUCUCUUUAGACUUCCCUUUUCUUGUAAAAUAGAAUAGAUUAAGUUAUAGAAAUGUUAUCAUUGGAUAAAAAAAAACUAGAUUAAAAUUUAAAAGAUUUUUUUAUAUUAAGAAAUUCAAAAGACUUUUAAGCAACAAUAUUUCAAAGAUACAAAAUGAUACAACUUUAACUUGAGGAAGUCGAAGGGUGUAAAUUAAUCAAGCUACUCGGACUCGUGAAUAGCUCGAUCAAAGGAUUGCUUUAAAUUUAACAUUGAUCGAAUUUGAAUUAAGUUCGAACUACUUAAUAAGGUUAUAAAAUUGUUCAAGUAGAAAAAUCAAAACUCAGAAUACUCGUUGAGUCUUAUCGAAUAGUGUAUUUAUAGUAUAAUUUUUAAAUAUUUAUUAUAAAAUUAUGAAAUUUAUUAAAAAAUCAAGAUUGCAAAAUUGAUUGAAUUUGAUUUGGUCUCAAACUCGUGUUUAGCUUUGAAAAAUUCGACAAUCCCGAUCUCGAGCUUUAACAUUUUGACUCAAAUAGUACGCUGUUCGAACUUAACCGGCUUAGAUGGCAGCCCCGCCAUUGAACUUUUGUUUUGACAAUUACUAGUAGACUAGAACUAUGCUAACGAAAGUUCAUAAACAAAAACAAUGGGAAAAGAAAUAUUAUUGGAUUCCAACUUGGAUACGCAAACUCCUUAGUCCAAACACCAAAGUCUCCAGUUAUGUGGUGGCAAGAAUCACCGUUAAAUUUCCCUUGUACCCUCCAUUAUCCGCCACGUGUCCCCUUCACAACCCGUAUAAAUAUUCGCAGAAUCCCCCCUCAAACCCUCAUUCUCGGACCGCAUCGGAGCACGCCCCUCAUCCUCUCUGUUCCGAUUCAAGGAAAUAAUUACUCCUACCAAAUUGAGAAGAGAAAAAGAAAAAGAAAUACGCACACACGCUGUUCCAUUGCAAAAACGAUACUUGAAACCCUAGAUCUCAGCUGUCAAGGUACUUGUAAUUUUUCGCAAUUUAUUGUGAUUUUUAGUUUGUUUAAUUUUUUUUGAUAAUAAUUGUGAUUUUCUCAUUUUGUUAUUAUUUUCGUUGGAUUAUUCUAGAUGGUUUCGGACGCGAGCAAGAAAAGAGACGCGCAGAAGAAGGCGGCGGCGGCAGCUAAGAGAGGAGGUAAGUCAGCUGCAGCAUCGUCUAAAGCUGCCAAGGAAGUUGCCGCGGCGGCGGCGGCAGCCACCACAGCGGCGGAGAAUGGAAGCGCUGAUAGUUUGGCAAAUGGAGUUGGGAUGCUCCAGAUAUCGGAUCGGACUUGUACCGGCGUGCUUUGUUCUCAUCCGCUGUCCAGAGAUAUUCGGGUUAGUUCUUUUAAAGAUCCAUUUUUUAAUCAUGCCAUUAUAUGUGCCAUUUCAGUUACAAUAAAUAGUAUUUUACCCCUUGAUUUUUCACUAUAUUUGUUAUCUGUUGCAGUUACUAACAUAAUGCAUAGAAGGAAUAUUGUCUUUUUUUUCAAAUUUUCUUUUGAUUAUGUUCUAUCUAUGGUUAUAAAAAAGAAACGGUUUGUUUUUGGGGGAUUAUGUUGGUUAGAAAAAGGUAGUAUCUUGUCUUUUAACGCAAUUCCUAAUGGGUUUGUAUCUUGUUUGCUUUCUGCUUUUUACAAAUUCUUUUUGGACUGAAAUUAGUUAGGAGACAACCCUUUUCAUGUUGUGUGUGUAUAUUGGACUGCGUUCUUAGUAGUAGUAAAACAUGAUGCUGAGUAAGAAAAUAAACUGCCCAAGAGUACGUUCUGAUUAGACUUAGGAAUGUAUUGUUUCUAUAAGCUAGAUGUUUACACACACUGUACGUGAUGAAGAUUUGGAAUGACUCGUUGAUCAUACCUUCUGAAAUUAUGUUGAUCUUUUUUAUUGUUAAUCUUGUUUUAUUGUUACUAAGAAACCAUUGAAAGUGUAACUGGACCCUUGCUGAUAAGUGACAAUUUCAUUUGCAAUUUUGGUCUGUUUUGGUUGCAAUGAUAUACAAAAAGUUUAGGGUUACUAACAAAUAUUAAUCUUGUUUUAUUGUUACUAAGAACUACCAUUGAAAGUGUAACUGGACAAAUGUUACUAAGAAACUGUUGCAAUGUUAUUGUUACUAACAAAUAUUAAUCUUGUUUUAUUGUUACUAAGAAACCAUUGAAAGUGUAACUGGACCCUUGCUGAUAAGUGACAAUUUCAUUUGCAAUUUUGGUCUGUUUUGGUUGCAAUGAUAUACAAAAAGUGUAGCAUUUUUUUUUAAAGGUGUGUAAGAUUAUCUUCAUUUUACUUGGCAAAUUCCAUGUCAUGUCAUGCAUUGGCUGGUCUGUUUGUAAUCUGAGUCAACAUCUGCCUUGUGUAACUGUCUCCCACGUAUUGUAUGAUGACAAGAAAAAAGAAGAGUUGAUUACUUAAUAACAGAGAACAUUUAUUAGAAUUUUCUCAUUUAAAUUUUGUUCAAGAUUCUGAAUUUCACUUAUCUAAAUGUAGAAGUAUGCAAUUCUUGUGGUGUCAUCUGAAAAGUUUGCUCAAAAGACAUUGGUAGUAGAAAUUUUCGUUGGUUUCUUAUAUUAGGACUGUCAUGAUUAAACUUAAAUUCUCCAAUUUACCUGAUUUCAAAAGGGCAACAUCUGCUACGCAUAAUCGUGUAAUUUAGCCUUUUAAAAUUGCCAGGUUUGUGAUCUGAAUACCUUGACCAGAGUGUGGUGGUAAUAUUAGCACUUUCUGGAAUCAGUUAAGUAGACAAAAACAGUGGAGAUGAAAGAUAUGUGUUUCAUAAAAUAUACAUAUGUAACCUAUCAUUUGAUGUAUAAUAUGUCCAGUUUUAGUGUAUUCUGUAAUUUGUUAUGUAAUAUGUCAGCAUUAUUGGGAUAAUCUGCUUCUAGUUUGUUUCCUUAAUCAUUUUUUUUCAUCUGAGAAAUCUGUUGUCUGAUUUAUGACCCUUGGUGAACUGCAUGUAUCAUGUUGAUUGAGCAGUCAAUCUUUCAAAGCUGUGUGUAUGGCACGUGGAUAUUCUCCAUUAUAGUUAUUAAGCUGCUGUAAUGUUGACUAAGAACGGUUUUCCUUGGUUUUUGCAGAUUGAAUCCUUGUCACUUACAUUCCAUGGACAUGACCUCAUAGUUGACUCUGAACUGGAACUAAAUUAUGGCAGGUCUGUGGCUCUAGAUUGAUGCAAAAUGUUGUUAACCACUAUUUUAGUUCCCAUUCUAAAAUCUUGUAUUUUCAGACGUUAUGGUUUGCUAGGAUUGAAUGGCUGUGGGAAAUCUACUCUUCUUGCUGCGAUAGGGUGUCGUGAACUGCCAAUUCCAGAUCAUAUGGAUAUUUACCACCUCACCAGAGAGAUUGAAGCUUCAGACAUAUCUUCACUUGAGGCUGUCAUAAACUGUGAUGAGGAGAGAUUGAAGUUGGAAAAAGAAGCUGAAGCCUUGGCUGGACAGGACGAUGGUGGUGGUGAACAACUUGAGCGUGUUUAUGAACGUUUGGAAGCCAUGGAUGCGGCUACUGCUGAAAAGCGAGCUGCUGAAAUCUUGUUUGGACUUGGUUUCACCAAGAAGAUGCAGGAAAUGAAAACCCGAGACUUUUCUGGUGGCUGGAGAAUGAGGAUCGCUCUAGCAAGGGCUCUGUUCAUGAAUCCAACCAUACUCUUGCUGGAUGAACCCACAAAUCAUCUCGGUAGGUUCAUUAUCUGGUUAUUGUAAAAUAGUUGUUAAUAGUGCUUGCCAUUGCUAUCUACUGUCAUGUAUGUGGGAGUGGGAUGUUUUAUUUGAGGAAAAAGGGGGGCAAUAAUCUCCAUAUUAAUUUAUUGAUGCUGAAACCAUAUUUGGUUUUGACUGCCUGUUGUUGGUCUUCUUGUUUUGGCUCAUCUUUACAUGAGUUUCAGGCAUGGUAUUUAUUUUAUCUUUGUAAUCAUUUCUAUCUGCAACAAGACUUUCCUUUUCAUGAAGUUGAGCAGAAAAGCUGACAGAACACUGUUAAGAAUGCAUACUGGCACAAGAAUGCAACCCUUGCUUACUGCUUUUCCACUGUCAUCUGCUGAAAAAGAUAGCAUAAAUAACCCUGUAGGCUUUCUGUAUUUCUAACGUUGUUUCUUUCAUCUGUGAAUAUGGCAAUUGCAGAUUUAGAGGCUUGUGUUUGGUUAGAGGAAACUCUCAAGAAGUUUGACCGCAUAUUAGUUGUGGUCUCUCACUCCCAGGAUUUUCUGAAUGGUGUCUGCACCAACAUCAUCCAUAUGCAAGGUAAGAAGUUGAAGCCUUACACUGGUAAUUAUGAUCAGUAUGUUCAGACUCGGGCUGAACUUGAGGAGAAUCAGAUGAAACAAUAUAAGUGGGAGCAGGAGCAGAUAGCUUCAAUGAAAGAGUACAUAGCUCGCUUUGGACAUGGGUCAGCCAAACUAGCUCGUCAGGCACAGAGUAAAGAGAAAACUCUGGCCAAGAUGGAGCGAGGUGGCCUGACAGAGAAGGUGGCGAGGGACAAGGUUUUGGUUUUCCGCUUUACUGAUGUUGGGAAGCUUCCACCUCCUGUCCUACAGUUUGUUGAAGUUUCUUUUGGCUAUACACCUGAUAACCUCAUCUACAAGAAUCUUGAUUUUGGGGUUGACCUUGACUCAAGGGUUGCUCUGGUUGGACCCAAUGGGGCUGGUAAAAGCACAUUGCUUAAGCUGAUGACAGGUGAUUUGGUUCCCCUUGAUGGCAUGGUCCGCCGUCACAACCACUUGAGGAUUGCACAAUUCCACCAGCACUUGGCUGAGAAACUUGAUCUGGAGAUGUCAGCUCUUCAGUUUAUGAUAAAAGAGUACCCUGGCAAUGAGGAAGAGAGGAUGAGGGCAGCAAUCGGUAAGUUUGGGCUUUCCGGUAAAGCUCAAGUUAUGCCCAUGAAGAAUUUAUCAGAUGGCCAAAGGAGCAGGGUGAUUUUUGCCUGGUUAGCUUGGAGGCAACCCCACAUGCUGUUGUUGGAUGAGCCCACUAACCAUUUAGAUAUCGAGACAAUUGACUCCUUGGCUGAGGCACUGAAUGAGUGGGACGGUGGCCUUGUACUUGUUAGUCAUGAUUUUAGGCUUAUAAAUCAGGUUGCUCAGGAGAUAUGGGUGUGUGCAGAUCAGACUGUGACUAGAUGGCAGGAUGACAUUAUGAGCUUCAAGGAGCAUUUGAGGCAAAAGGCUGGUUUAUCUGACUAAAACAGAUCUUUAAGAGUUGAUCGGUUCUGUAUUCACAAAAUCCUGCUGCUCAGAUGUGAGUAUGACGAAAGAUGGUGGAAGAGCUUGAUCGCUUAAUGUUUUACCAUUUGAAGGACAUUUCUAGUGAUUGAUAACUGGAUGAGUCCAUUAGUACUUAACACGAUAGUAUUAUUUUUGAAGUAUCAUAUGUAUUGCUCUCUGUUGUACUUGGUCUAUGGUUGGGAGAGGAUGUAGCGUCGAUUUUGGUUCAUCUUGUUUUACUCUAUAUGCAUCUAUUUUAGAUAAUAUGUCACUAUCUCGUUCUUUGGAUUUGUAAUUUCACUCGAGCUAAUGUUUAGAAUACUAAGCAAAAUAAUGUUUAGAAUACCAAGCAAAAUGGUGGUUUUUCUUUCGUACUGAAAUUGUAAAUCAGCGAUGCAGAUGGAAGUUAUAGAUGAAGCCCCGUGCGAAUCGUAAUGGGUAAAAAAUGACAUCAUCACAGCUCAAAUUUUAUGUCUAUUGUAAACUUAAUUAAAGGGACAAAUCACCCUUUUCAAGCUUAGCUGGCAUUUUGGCUUGAGAAUGGUAAGUUCUGAGCAUUCGAUAAGAGUUGUGGAAAUAGAAUUUGGGCUCCCAUUGGCAGCAGCCGGUAGAAUUUGGAGCACUGGAGCACUUAUCUGGCCUACAAGAACGUACUUUCUCAACAAAAAAAAAAAGAAAAAAAGAAAGACCUGCUUUAAGCGAAUAGUCAACUUCUAAAGCAGCAGAGACGAUAAAUUUCUGUGAAGUCUUGUAAAAUUGACGUACCAUGGUAUUUGCAGUUCGAAAUUCCAUGUUGUUUGUAACACUUUGAUAAGAUUACCGAAAGUAGGCAAACAGGAACAAUCUAAACAAACCCUUUCUGGGAUUACAUCUGUGGAAUGAGAAACAAAUUUUAACGAGGUUUUUUGGUUAAGAUUUGAUGUGUCUAUUGCUUUCAGCCAAUAGCCAAAAUUUCUGAGUUGUUCCAUUUUCAGUUUUAUACCGGAGAAUUGAUGAAUGACUAAUUAGAUGUGAUUUCUCCCGAGCAUGAUCUUUGUCAUCCUCCUCUAAUGGUUCGAAUUUUCUCCUCUCCAUUUUUCAGUUGCAACACAUAUACAUAAAACAAGAAAACGCAAACAUUAACAUUAACGAUAAAAGAACCAAGAACUUGGCAAAUUACAAAUUCUGAUCAAACUUCUUUCAAGCAAAAGAUAUUUUAUUGUUUCUCCUAAACAAGAUUUUUUCUUAUGCAGUUGUCACGUCAAUCUAGCAACAUAUCAAUUCCAGCUGACAUUUCCACUUCUAAGGUUUGGUCUAACCAUGACCUUAGUUUGAUUCAUGAGGUACACAUAUGACGUUACAUUAAAUAAUUUCAAAGUGCAAAUUUCUCUUGUAUAAUGAUUGAGUAAACUUAAUGACAUGCACCACCUAACACAAAUCGAACCUUCCUUGCUUCUCCAAACUAACUCAGAGAUUAUUUGUCCUAUACUGACUGAUAUGAUGUUUUCCAGUACAGCAUGGGUACACCCAACGGGGCCCUCUCACUCCAGGGAUGGAAAGGACUAUCUGUGCAGGUUCCUUCUGUUUCGUAUCUAGAAGGAAGGAAGACGCAGAAAUAAGAAAGGGACCAAUUGAAGUCUUGGGAUGGAGAAGGGCAGUGAAGAGUCGAUUCAGCACGAAAGCAAGAAGAAACUCCGGUCAGUUUUAUCACUGUUCCCUUUUUCUUGAAACAUAAAAAUAUAAGCAUGUCAAUUCAGUCGACAGUGGCUGAUGAGCUGCCAAUGUUGUGCCAGUGCAACCCUCCCUCGUUUCAGUCCCUGCCCCUCCUCCCUGUCUCUAAUCUACCUGACUGGACGCUCUGCGUCACAUUGAAUAUGAUGCAUGUACAGUAAUGCAUUAAUGCAAAAUUUUUAUAUAAUUGGAGUGUUAAGAAUUACAGUUUGUAAUACCUGAUUAUUGCGUUCAAUUACCACUUGACUAUGGAGUAAUUUUUACUCAAUUUAGACUUUUAGUUACCUGGGAAGUUAUCCUUAAAAUGCUAAUUACUAUGUUUAUUUAAUUAACCUCUCAGGUGUUUUUUUUUAAACAUAAACUGACAGAAAUGGUUCAAAGUAAAAUUGGUUUUAAUUAGUUGCUUUUUACCCUUUAGUUAAGUUUUAAGUACCCUAUUACAAAUUAUUGGGGUUGAUCCAAUGACCAGUGAAUGCUAGAGUUUUUAGUACCACCAGGUUCAGGAUUCGUGGAGAAGUUUCACUUUUUGAGGAUUGGUUGGGACUUACAUAUGAGUGUCAGUGUAUUUUAAUAUAAUCUUAAUUUUUUCUUGAUCAAAUCUUUACAAAGAGUUAUAAUAAUUUAUUUGAGAGUUAUGGGAAUUAUAAUAUUGGGAGUUACAAUACAUUUUGAAUGGAGUUAUUAAACAAUUCUUUGAAUAGGAAUUGCAAGUGAAUUACUUGGUCAAAUAAAGAGUUAUUGAGUCAUUAUAAGCCAUUUAAAUAUGAAUCAUUUUUUAGGUUACAAAUUCUACCAAUUAACUACAAUUUAAUAUGAAAAAAAACUGGUUAUACAUUAAACUUGGACUUUCAACCUUUUUUCUAAAGGUUUUUGUAGCCUAUAAAUAAUGAAAUUCUUUGGAGAAUUUCUGAUACACUUCUCUUAACAAAAUAUUAUUUUAAAUAUUAUUUUCCCUACACUCAUUUCUUUCUCUCUCAUUCUGUUUUCUUUGGGCAAAGUAAAAUAUUGGGAAACUUCUGCUUCUCUUGGUUGUGCAGAUCAAAGGGAAGCAACAACUAUAGAAUUGGAUUGUUGUAUCCUGGAGGCGGUGCGCUAGGCCUUCUGCAUCGAUUAAAAAAAUACCGUAGGGAUGCAUAUUGUUUUAAAAAGAGCAUUCUACUCGCAUCAACCCUACCAGACUUCUUAGUAGCUGUCAAAUUCAAGGUGGUGAGGUUGAAGAUUAGAAGUGGUUCGUGUACUCUCCUCUCAACUCACGCCAAAUUAACUUUUAUGGUACAAAUUAUUUACAUUUUUUAAUGAAAUAUUGAGGUAUGAAAUUUUUGUUAAUUUCUUUGUUAAAUUUUAUUAGAGAAAUUAUUGUUACUUAUGUGAUUUAUUUUGGUCGAGUACCAACAAUGAGUUCAACAGCUUGAGAGGAUUGAAUCGAUCGCUACUUUGACUACACUAAUUUUUAGUGAAUUCAAUGAGUUACCUUGGGGACAUAUCCUCUUCGAAUGAUGAUCAUAUAUAUAUAUAUAUAUACACACACACACACGCACGCACGCACACAUACGUGUUUGUAAACAAACUCACGGACUUUAAAUACUCGCGAGUUCAAAGUAAAAUUGGUAUUAAUUAGUUGCCUUUUCUCACCAUUUUGUAACUUUUGAAGAUCUUAUUACAAGAACCAGAAAAUUUUGGCACUUUCGGAGGGAUUAGGAUAGGGCUACAAACAAGUUAAACUACUUGAGGGUUGCGGAUGCUCAACUCCGCACUUACUUGGCGUUGGUCCAAGUUCAAGCAGCUGCAGCUUCUAAGUAAACAUUGCCCCUCAGAAAAAUGUGUGUCCUCUAAAAUUUGUAAUCAGGUAUUGAUGCAUGCGUGUACUUGGUAUUCCAAUGACAAUUACAAGAUUUGCAGGAUAGUCAGUCCAGUUAGGUAUCGGGGAUGCUAUUUUGCUAAAUCUAAUCAAGUCGAGCUAAUUGUAAAAUGUUUGAGUCUCUGGUGUAAGCUAGAGUUUGUCUUAGUCCAUCUUGAGACAAUUUAUUGAGGUUUCCGUAGGUCUUUCAAUUCAGGAACAAGUGCAACGUUCAGGGAUUAAUAGAUAAUUCUUGCACGUAAAUCAUAUUUAACAAAUAAAUAAGAGUGGCUAGAAUUAAGUUUUGCACGUAAAUGUUAAUUACCAAAUGAACAAAUGCCUAGAAUUGUAGAUAAAUUUUACUUGUAAAUCUUAUUAACCAAAUAAACAAUUGCAUGGAAUUAAUUCUGAUUAGAACAUGCCCAACUUCCUUUGGCCAGGAAAAGGCAGCCUGACAUUGGCAACCCAAGAAAGAUGGUAAACAACUCAUAGUGGUAAGCUUGAAAAGAGGAUGAAAAUCCCCAAAAAAUAAAAUCCCUAAGGUACAGUAGUACUAGCUAUUCUAUAGUACUAUGUUUUUGCGGCUCUUGACCGUGGUUUUAGUACGUGACCAAUCAGCAUUAGCUCUUGAAUCUCUUCCGUCCACCAAUUUCUCAGCCAAUAUCCUUUCCAGCUCGCUUGGCCUGCAAGGAAUAGUUAAUGCACCUUCUACGUCGAAGCCAUAUUCUUCAGCAGCUUGUUCCAAGAGUCUCAAAAAUGUUGGAUGUGUUAGAUAACUCAAGGGGACAACAAAUCUCUUCAGCUCAUCAUCAUCCACAGCUAUGACAGCAAAAUGCCCUUCCUUAACAUCAUCAGGGACAUUUGUUGAAUCAUUAACUUCUUCGAAUUCGUCAGCUCGGGAAGCUAACUUCUUGCCUAAUGAAAGACUCUUCUGUAGCUUCUCUGCGACUAUCUUGAGCUUCACAAUGCCAUUCUUUUUCUUGCCAUUUGUUCUAGUCAUUUUCGCCAUGACUCUUUUUUUUUUCCUUUUGUUUUGCUUGAAGUUUGAACAAGUCUUGGUGCUUUUUCUGCGCAAAUUAAACCUGCAUAUUUAUAGUGGAAGAGGUCGUGACAAAGAUAAGGUCAGGUGAUGUUUGUCGGGUUAAGAUUAAAGAGAUCGGGACAUGGGAAGGACUGAAUGAGAGUCGUGUAAUUAUGGGAGACCGCUGCAUGUGCAUGAAGUUUCGACUCAAGCAUGAAAGGUCGCUUUUAGCUAGCCAUUCCUGCCUUCCAAUCAUUCACAUCUGUACAGUUUUCUUAGCUUGCUUCGUCUAGGCGUUAUAUACUCAGGAAAACUUGCUCAAUCUCAUUAAAAACCCUGUAAGGGAAAGUUGCAUACUCUAAGUUAGUGCCUAAUACGGAUUGUACAGAUUGCGGAACUGAUUCCCAUUAAAUCGUUUGUAAUGUCCCGUCUAACAGCUGUAAUGUGCCAAACAUAUCCCAUCAACCAAUGACCAGCUUGUUUUAGAUUUUCAUUUUGCUAUUCAUAUCCAAUGAGUAGAUACUACUUUUUGGAUUAAUCGUUCUUAAUAUGACCAGUUUAUACCCUAAUGAAGUCUUAAUGAGCAUGUCACGUAAUCACAAUUUCAAAUUGAAUUCUAAAAAUUCUGUACGUGUGACAUGUAUCUAUAUCUAUAUACUAUUUGGGUAUGAAAAAUUAAUCUUACCUUUAAUUGCUUGCACCUCUUUACUUUCUUUCUGAAACUAGUGUAGCACAUAAAAUCUGAGAUAGAAAAGUACCAAUGAAAAUGUAGUUGCAUAAUAUGCACUAAUUUGUAAAAUAAACUGAGUAGUGCUUUGUCUACAUCAAACAAAAAAAGGGAACUUGACAUGAAAUUAAGCAUUUUAAUUGUCUACUCAUGAAGUUUUUUGUGCUUUCACAGGCAUUUUAAUUGUCCACUCAUGAAGUUUUUGUACUUUCACCAUGUGUACGUGGUUUGUGCAUGGUUAAUAUAGAAGGGUGGUUGGCUUCCCCUGUGCAGUUUUGUACCCUCUACAUCUGCAGCCACAUGACAUAUGGAGAGCUUUCCGGAACCGUUGAUGAGUAGUAUCUCUCGAAUUAAUUCAGAGAUCAUGUGGCACAUAUAUGAUAGAACAGAUCAGCCUCAAGCAUGUUAGUUUGCUCCUCUCUUUCAGCAGCUUAUUUCUGUCUUUACCCCACUUGCAUAACAAGCAUGGCAUACUUCACACACGGACGGCUAACUUUCACAAGAAUAUGCAUCUAUAAUUGUACCAGCUAUGCCCGUGACAUCUGACUAGAUCCUUCCAAUGGAAAUCCAGCUGCAUGUGUAAUUACCCUACUAUAUUUCUCAUACUCUAAAUCAGUAGAAGAUGAGUAGAGUGCCUGAUCAAUUGCAUUGAAGUCUGUAAUUAAUGUUGGACAUUAGUAAAUGCAUUGGCUUAAUUUGAUUUGAUCAUUUUUGUUUGUAAUUUUGAUUUCUUGAUCACCUCAAAUGGGUAUGAUUAGCUAAGUAGCCAUGAGCAAAAAGGGCUUUUUCUUUAUUUUGCCAACGAUUGUUUAGCAAUUUUAUCUCUGCAAACAAUCUUGCAAGUAUUAAUGACCAAUGCAAGGACGGACUCAGCAGUUUUCAGCUCUCAAUGGCAUAAUACCUCAUAAAUUUAGGGUCACGCAAUUUGUAGUUAGAAUUUGAAGAAUGAGAAGUAAAACACACCAGCAUAGCACAUUCGAUUGUCAAAGGAUAUAAUGUUCGGCCUACUGUAGAUGUGAUGGUAUUUGGCUAUUUGCACAUUUGCAACGACAAUGGUGUAAAAAUUUACAUAAAUCCACAUGUAAGAGAUGAACAAACUGCUGUCCACAAAAAAUUCUUUCAUAUAUAUGCGGACUAUUAGUUAGUUUGAAUUGUAAAAAGUUUGCAUGAACUGUACAAAAUUCGUUCGAUAUCUAGUAAUGAUCGUUUGUUUCAAUCGCAUUGGUUCAAUUUCUUCUCACUUUGAUGCAAUAAAUUGCGUGGCAUGAGCAUUGACUUUUUUUUUUUAAUUUCGUGUCAGUUUGGACUUUCUCUACAUGCAAAGGAAGACCAUUUUUUCUUUUUGAUCAACAAACGUUUAAGGGUCGCUAAAGCUGUAAAUUUCAAACCAGGUACCUUGGACUGAAAUCUUGAACUGAUGGAUUUACGUACCUCAGAGUGCAGCAAUAUUGAAUUAAAAAAAAAAUAUAUCGUUACUGCAUGAUUAGAAAGGGAAGAGGGAACAGUGAAAAUUAAGGGAGUACAAUUCUAUCAUGGUAUGCAAUGUCGGCUAAAGAAAUGGCUUGUCAUAACUUGAAAUCUCUUAGAAUUACAAUUUAUACCCCCAAUGAAAUGUGAAAUAAAUCCUACUAUUAUCCUGGUUGCUAUGAUAAUGUCGCAUAGAAUAAUAAAUGAAGAGAACUAGUAAUGUAUCAACAAACAAGUUCUAACAGUUUAGAACUCUCAAGUUGCAAUUUGAUUUUUCUUGAUCCACAACAUUUUACCUGGUAUCAUCAUUUGGAUAUCUUGACUAGGAGUUACUAUUUCUUUAGAAGGAUUUGAAAAGUUUUGCUUGUUAAUUUAAGGCCCCACUGAAAAAUAUUUCUUGCUAGAGAUAUUUUCUUGUGGCCUUUGCAGUUGAAACCAGACGUACGUACAAGUUUAUUAGCGUCUUAUCCUUGUUUGUUAUAUAUGUUGAACAGUCAUUUCCCGAACCAUCCCAUAUCUUAAUAAUCUAUAAUAUUUUAAGCUAGCUAGCCUGGCAUGUCCAUGCUCGUUUCCUUACUUCACUAUCGAGGUCAUUAUUACUUGCAUAUGGUUCAAAUUAAUUCUUCACCCAUGGUGAUCAAAACAAUAUACAACCGCUGGCUUUGGACCUCAAACCUGCAUAUUAUCCACUUAAACCCGAAAUUAUUACAAUUUGUUUACUUCAAACAGUCAGUUCAAUGAAGAAAAAAAGAAUGUAUAUAUAUAUAUGUAUGUUGAACGGUUGACACUGCAUGACUAAAAAAGAGCUAGGGAAUAAGGAAAAGCCAAAGACAUUAAUUUGCUACAUGGCAUGAAACUCAAUGAAGAAAAAAGAAUGUAUAUAUAUAAUAUGUUUGAACGGUUGACACUGCAUGACUAAAAAAGAGCUAGGGAAUAAGGAAAAGCCAAAGACAUUAAUUUGCUACAUGGCAUGAAACGACAACAAUGAGAAGAUAUUGUUACGUCCAGUUGAAACCAGACAAGUUUGCUAAGGAGUUUUUAAUCCUUGUUAAUUUGUGAAUAUGAGUAUUCCUUCCCAGAACCAUCCCAGUUCUUAUGCGAGAAAGAUCAAAAAGGGUUUUUGGUCAUCAGGAGAAUGAUCGCUCUGCAAGUUUAUUGAAUCUCUGACUACAUUAUACACGGCUCAUCUAUGAUCUACCCCACUGCGAGCAGGAGUCUCUUCGUUUUUUUCUUUUGGAGCUGGCAUUCAAAGUACAUAAACGAAGAAAGCGCAUAAAUUCAGGGCCCAUAAGUCAGUUGCCACGUGAAACUGUUCUCAUCCCUUCAUAGUCUUUGAGCAUUUUAGUCUGCUUCUCGUAGAUAAGAGCUCAGGAAAAAAAAAAAAAAAAAGGUUCCACCUAAUAUAAUGUAUAUAUAUAUAUAUAUAUAUAUAUAUAUAUAUUAAUAUUAUAAGCUGGAGGGAAAAAACCCAAAAAGUUCAUGAUCAAAUGCUUGAUGUGGAAAGCACAUUUUCUGUAGGGGAAAUAUUUGGACGAAAGUAUUUUGCAAUAAGCAGUGAGAAACAAAAUUAAUGAGAAAUGGUCCACAUUAUUCUAAUGAGUUGAAUAGAGCUAAUUAAUGUGUAACUUGUCCCACGUAUUACUAACUAAUAUGGUAUUGAAGUAUUGAUGGUUCUGCAGACAGCAGCCCCAAUCGAGUAGGAAAAGAGAGUUGAUUAGGUUUCUGUUGCUCACUUUCAUUUGCUUAAAAUUUGGGUGGGGAGAAUGCACAGGGUUAUUCCACAUUACCUGCAUCAGAUAUUAUUCAAUUGCAAUUAGGAAUAGUUUGUUUUCUACUAUGUUGUAGAGUAUUUGCUCAAAAAAAAAAAAAAAGAAUUGUAGAGUACUUAACUAAUAACAUUGGGCUGACGUUAAGUAAAUCUUUUUUUAUUAAAGAGGUCUUGAUUUAGUGGUUAAAAUUGAGACUCCAAAUCUGAGAGGUCCUGAUUUCUAACCCCUUUUUUACUUCAAAAAUCUCAUUUCUUCCUUACUAGAAAAAGAAUAAAAAAAAAAAAGUCCUUUCUAUCCCAUUGGCCCAAGAGUGCUGAAUUGAACAACAACAUGUGUUACAUGAAUUUUUUGUCAGAUUUUUAAUCUAUUAUAUCUUAAUAUGUAUGCAUGUUGGUAUGGUUCCAUUCACCGCCUGAUAUGGUUUUGAUCAAAAAGGGAAAAAAGACAAAGAUUUUUCUUUGGGGAUAAUUUUAGUAUUAAGAGGACUUGCAUGAAAAUAAGGUUAACAACGAUGGAUAAUGGUUAGUUAAUAGAGCUAAUCCACAAGGACCACAACCACCUUUUCUAUGGUGUCUAGUCACUGGUGUUUACGCUUAAAAUGAGCAUUAUGACUACAUAUACGGAAUUCGACACCGUAUUCCUAGUUAGAAUUUCCUUUUUCGAAUUCAAUAAUGUUUUAGCAAAUUUUGGUUCAAGUCAUUUUCACGAGUAAAUAAUCACAUUGUUGUGGGGGGGGGGGGGGUUUGGCGUGUUACUCUGCUAGAGACGUGUUCUUGAAGGCUGACUAUGAUCUUCUCCUAAAAAUGCUCUAGAGGUUAUGAAAAAGAGUUGGAGAACAAUCCAAACAGAAAAUAGAGCAAAAGUACUUAGGCUCCGUUUGAUAACACUGAAUCUGAAUUCCGAAUUCUGAAUACUGAAAUAAUUAAUUUGCUGAAUUUUAAGCACUGAAAAGAGAUAUAUGAAUGUCUGAAUCUUAAUGCUGAAUCUAUUUAUACUGUUUGAUAAAUAUUCAUAACUUAAUGCUUAAUAAGCUAAAUUGUACAAUUUUACCCUUCUAUCUUUUAAUCCAAAAAGAAAAUAGAACCUAUGAUUUAAUUAGCUUAAAAUUGUUAGGUAUAAAAAAGACAAUAUUUAUUUUCAAAUCAAAUUAAUAUAAAAGAAGAAAUAUAUUAUGCAAAACAUUAAAAGAAACAUUACAAUCCAAUAAUUCAUAUAACAUAUAAAUUCGACCUAAAAAAUUUAGAAAUGAUUGUUUGAAUAGAGAAUAUCAGAUUGUUUUGUUUAAUUAGAUAAGGAUUUUGAAUAGAGAAUAUUAGAUUGUUUAAUUAGAUAAGGAUUUUGAAUGUAAUUAACAAACAGGGAUAGAUUUGGUAGAUAAGAUAAAGUAGUUGAAAUAAAUCUCUUGAUUCUUAUCAAAUUAAGCAUUCAGUUACGAUUCUUGUGCUGAAAAAAAUACAUACAAAUUCAGCACCACUUAAUAAGUUCAGCAGGUGAAUUUUUAUUUAUUAAACACCCAAAACCUCUUAAUGUCUGAAUGAAUUUAGUUUCAGCACUUUUUUAUGUUAUCAAACAAGCACUUAAACAAAGAAGGUUGUGUUGGCAUUUCGGGCAAAUAGUGGUUUCUUCUCCUAACCUUUGAAUUUCGUUCUUUGGCAAAGUUUGAUCAAUCCUGGACUAGUCUUGACAUCAAUGUCUUAGCAAUUUUAAAGUCCAUAAAAUUUUUGAAAUAAGUGCACAAUCAAGAAGAAAAAGAUAAUAGCAUUUGCUUACAAAUUCAAAUUAUGUACAGGGAGAACUAAUUUUUAAACAGUAAAAAUUAUCAAGGAUCAAUUUUCAAGUUUCAAUUGUUGUGAAUCAAUGUACUUCUCAAAACAAUUAUGGGCUCAAAGAUGAAAAUGGAAUUGAAAAAAAGGAAAAAAAAUAAAGACUGCAAAGUUGAGAGCGAAAACGGGAGAGACAAAAUGGAGAGAGACUGAUUUGAAAGUGAAUCACUUUUGAACUAUUUUCUUAUACUAUAUAAGAAUGAGUUUAGAUCGAAGGGGUUUUGAAUUUCAACUGGAAGGAUAGGGGCAUUAUGGGAUUGUGAGGCUAUUUGGAAUGUAGUUAUAGUGCAAAGUACAAUUUAUGGUAGAAUUUGUUUUCUUGUACUUCCGAAAAUGGACUUUUGUUUUGUAAAUGCAAUAUGGUUCAAUUUAUGUUUUUGAAAAUAUUUGGACAUUUCUGAAAUGUAUGGUUAUCGUGGUUGUCUUUAUAGUAGUGACUAGGGGAAAAAGCCCACGUCACGCGCGGGAGUUUAGUACCUGUACUUAAAGAUAGUUAAUAAUUAUUAUUUGGUAUUUUGUAGUAUAAGAAUUGAAGUAUGACAAUUUUAUAAUGUGAUAUUAAACAGAAAAAUCAUAAAUUACAUAUUGAGUCAAAAAAAUAUAAUAUGCAAUGCAAUAUAAUUAUCAAAUACGAUCAAGCACUUUGCGUUUAAUCUAAUAGAAUAAAAGAUCUACUUAUAUUUGCUCAUGCACUUUAAGGAUAUUAAAAUUUGUUAUUUAGUUUGAAUUUGAUCUUAAUAUGAGGGCAAUUCACCACAUUAUCUAGUCAUAUAAGUGAGAUUUGAACAAUUAGCAUACUUGAAGAAAUCAUUGCCAGUGAAAUUUUGGUUCUUGCAAGCCAAAUUCUUGAAUUUAUAUUGAUUACAAGGACAUAUUAUCAUGAAACCUCCACAUUGACCAAUCAAUCAUUUAUGAUUUAUUGUAUGAUUUAGGACAUAUAGCAAAACAUAUCCUUCUCGAUAGGGGUUACAAUCACAAAAUAUCAAUUUUUGACCUAGUUGCAAAAAUAUACAAUAACUAACACGCUAAUCUAGAUAAAUAAUUACCUAAAAAAAUACUAAAACAUCUUAAUCCACUCAAUUCAAGAAAAUAAUUAAAAGUAAUGAAGUACAUACUUUUAAGUAGAUAGUUAAACAUAUUGGCAAAUCAAAUGAAGUGAAAAAUUGCCUAAAUGGAAUCAUCAAUAAAGUAGCAAACAAUUUGAAAAUUACUGUAACUAAUAGUUAAAACAACAAAAGAAAAAGAUGCAAUCUAUAAAUAGAAAAAAUUUAUGAUGAUAAACUUAUUUUAAACCACAAAUAACAAUUAACAAAUGUGAUCUCCUCCCUAUCAAGUCUAUCUAACAUGGACAAUUGAAUUAAAAUACUAAAAAAAAUAUUGCACAUACAGCUUGCAAGAUCACAGAUUUCUUACAACCAAAAAAGUAGAUUAGCUACAGAAAACAUAUCUAUUGAGAAAGAUGUUGUCAAAUGGGAAAGAGGAGUAGCUAAUACAGCAACAUCCGAAUUCAAUAGACUACAUGAUUGUAGUGGAAUAAAGUUAUAAGUAAAUGAAAUGAAUUUGAAUAGAUGGGAGUUACUAUGGUAACGGUUAAGAAACCAAACUUCUUUACUAAUCGACAUUAAUUGUGUCUUAACAUCUAUAUAUCAUAAGUUUGCAAAUAACUAAUGAGAAAAGCUUUAAGAAAUUAAGAGACUUGGAUGUUAAUACAAUUAAAUAAUUAAAAGAGUUUUUAUGUAAUUUCACUAAAACACAAGUUGAAUUCAAUUGUACCCAAUGUUCAAUCGGAUAUCGAACACUGUCACAGGUUAAACUUACCCCUAGCUAUAAAUGUCUGAGAGGACAUUUAAGUAAUUAUAAAAAAAAAAUCAAAAUAGUUAUAAUGAUUCAUAUUCAAUACUCCAAUUGCACUUUAUAAUACUCUCAUAUUCUCAAAAUAACCCCAUCAUUGCGGUUGAAAUUUUUGCACUAAAUUCAUUCUUAUCAACAUAACAUACAAUGCACCGAAGAGGUCUACUGUUCACUUUUCGUCGUCAUCACGUGCUGCUCGUGUGAGUUACUUCUGUUGUGUGCCGCUUGUGUGACUUCAACAUAAUUCCUUCCGCAUGCUCCACUGUUGGAAUGGUUCUCCUUAUUGGGUCGCACAUGGGUUUUCUUCUGACUGGUCUUACAAGUUGCUUUCCUUUCCCGGCUCUCAUCGCAGCUGCAUUGUCUGGAAGUAGCAGUAGCGCUUCAUCAAGAAUGGUAAUUGGUGUGAUUUCUCAUGGCUUCCCGCUUCCCUUUCCGCUGCCGUCCGAAUUCCGAGAAAGGUUAGCUGUGCCCUUUUUGCCUCCGGUUUUGUUCAUCUGGUUUCUCUCAUUUCCAUUUUCUCAAAUAUCUGGUUUCUCGUUUCCAUUUUUCCACUUUUGCUGUGUCCUUGAACCCGUUCCCUUCUUUUGAUCUCCUUCCUCUCGCCGUCUUCUCGGGCAUCUUGAUUGCGAGCUUGGUUACAUCUCACGGAGCUUGCUUUACUAGUGCGUUUUACCGUUCCCUUUUUUGUGCUCCUUCCUCUCGUCGUGCUCUCUGGGUUCCUAUGCGUUUUUUCCCAUAUCAUUUUUCCCUCCCAAUUUUUGAUGCUUUAAUCCUUGUCGUGUUUUUGAUGCUGCUGUUUUCUUUAAUUGUUGCCCUAUUUCGCUACUAUAUCUAUCCCUUAUUCUUGCCGUUUAGUGUUCCUUGCUUAUAUAUGUCAUUAGUUCCGUGUUUCCGAGUAAUAUUGCUAAUGUACAAAUGGUUUUCCCUGAUAUGAUUUUUCUCUGCUGUAGAUUCCGUUGCUGUUUUCCCUUGGGAUUUCCCGUGAUAUGCAUGUGUUUCUGUUUCUUAAAUUUUAUCCCCUUUUGUUGUCGUUGUUGGUUAUAAAUGAGAUUCUUAGCCGGUGGAAAUGGCUGCCAGGCUCCUUUUCUUUUUAACUUUUUGGGGUUUCUCUGGCACUUUUAGCGUGGAGUGGGGUACCUUUUCAUAGAAAUCCAAAUCCAUCUAGGUGAGCCAAUGUUGUUUGCCCAGAAAUAUGAUUUCUGCCCCCAAUGAUUUUUCCCUGUGGCUACCAGACCCCUUUUCCAGUUUUUGUAGGCUUCUUUGGCAUUUUUAAUGUAGAGUGAGGCAAAUUUUCGUACAAAUGCAUUUUUAAGUGAAAUGAUCUUUGUAUGUCUAUGAAUAUGAUUUUUUAUCUCAGUUAUUUCUGUGUAGAUGGGUUGCUCUUACUGCAUUUCCUUCUUGUUGCCCUCGAGUCCUUCUUAAAUUUUUCAUUAACCUUGCUGCCUUGUGCUUCCGUCUUUUCUUUUGUAUCUUCUAUUACCCUUGCUGCUUACAAACAAAAUUGCUUGCCUAAUGUUUGCUGCUGCUUCUUUCUCUGCCCUCUAAGAAAUGGCUACUGGGACUGUUCCCAUAUCGCGAGUUGAUGAGUCUGCGUUUGAUUGGACUGUGCUGGUUCAAGUUAUUGAGGCUGAUCGUGUGAAGAUUGCUCGGGAUGGGGAUUUAUCGAGGUCUUUCCAUUGGUUUGAGUUUGGUGACUUUCAGGUUUGUGCCCUCCAGAUUUAUCCUUCUUGCCCGCCUUCUAUUGUGUUCAUUAUUUUUUUUGUCUGACUAAUUGAAUCUUUUGAGUUUUUCCCCCUGUGGAUAGGGUAUCAAGGUCUCUGCAAUUGCCUUUGAUGAUGACGUUGCUAUUGUUGAUGGCCGUCUUUUGCCAUUUAGAAAUUAUUACAUAUCAAAUGCAGAAGUCCGUGAAAUUCCCGACCUUGUGGGACUGGCCUGUAUUCAUUUUACCGGGUUAUUAAAGAGGGAACUACUAUUGAAGAGGCUGCUGGCUCAUGGGAAUUGGCCCUUCCUUUCUAUUUUGAGUUGCGCUCUUUUCAGUACUUUCACUUUGUGCCUGACACGGAUAUUUUUAUAAGUUCGUCUCUUUUUUUGAUAUGCUUUGCAUUUCUUCCUUUCUUGUUGUUUGAUUGUUCCUGAUUGUUUGCAUGUAUGUUUUUAACCUAGAUGUCAUGGGAGUGGUCAUCCAUGCAUUACCUCCCCGGGAUGUGUAUUUUGAAGGGAGUAAGCGAUAUGGAAGAGAUUAUAUUAUAGUUGACCAAUGGUGAUUUUUUCCCUCUUGCAAAUAGGGCCUUUUAUUUCUUUUGUUGCUGUUUCCCGGCAAAUUUUCAUACAGUAGCUGCUUGCUGCUUAUUUUAAGCCUGUUCUCCUCUGUGUUGAUGCAUGCAGUAAACGCCAGUGGUAUUGACUUUGUGGGAUGAUUAUGAGUCUAUUGAGGGCUGUGUUAUAAAUGAAUCGAUGGUGUCCAUGCCGAUUAUUAUUGCUAUGAGGGUUAGGGUUACCACACGAAAUUGUAUGAUUCCUUGUCGCUUAUGUUCUUUCCCCCUGUAUGGUUUCUUUGCUUAUGCGUGUUUUUUCUGCUCUGUUUUUUAGACCUAUCACUGUCACUCAGCCAUCAUCUGUUAUCAUUGUUGCUCCCGAUGUUCUUGAGGCGAAGCAUCUUGAUGAUUGGUAGUCAUUGUCUUUUUCUGUAUUGUAUGUUUCUGUGUUUUUUUUUUUUGAUUGUAUCAUGCGUAGAACUGCUUUGUUCAUGUAGGUCUAAUGCUAAUAUUUCGGAGCUGGUUCGUAUGAUUUUUGAUGAUAUGGCCUACCUUGAUCCGUGCGUUUUGUUGCCCCUGUUCGUGACGCGACGCUCAUACCAAUCUAUAAUGUUAUAUCCCAUGCUAAAUCUGUUGCUAAUAGGGUAUUGUAAUUUUGUACUCCUGUUAGUAUGCUUCUUUUGUUUAUGCCUCUCUUUACAUUUUUUCUUACCCUGCUCAGCUACUCUUUUGUUGUUUCUAGGACCAGGGGACUUUUUGGAUUAAGGGCCGUGUUGAAAUUGCAUGGCCUUCGUCUCGGUUUUGGCAUAUGGCCUGUCCCCAUUGUUAUGAACUCUAUGAAUUUUCGUCAACUUUGGGGAUCAUAUGCCUAAGUUGUGGUCAGGGAAUGCCUGAGUUCCCUAGGUGAUCUUUUAUUCUAUUGCUUUUGUGUAUGUUUAUGAGUUAUUGAUAUACAAUCGAUUGUAUUUAUGUUUUUAACUUUUUCAUAUCAUGAAUUGUCUGUUAGGGCAUGGGUUCGUCUUACGGUGUUCGACAAUACUGGGUACGUAAAUGUUAUUGCCUUGGGUCCAGAAGCUGAGCACCUCAUCGGCCUAUGUGCUGCUGAUAUGUAUCGUGUUUCUGACCAUCAGGUGAUGUGUUUUUAAGUCUAUAAGUGUUGCUCUACUACUGCAGGUGUUCAUUUUGCUUUUAGCACCCAAUUCAUUCCUUUCCCAAAUUUAUGCCAUCUUGCUUUUUCUGCAGACCUUUGAAAUCUCCAAGCGUGUGUCUCGUCAGAUUGAUGGAAAGGAACUGUUGUGUUACCUUAAGUAUUCGUCCAAGAUGAUUAGGACAGCAACACAUAGUAACUACACUAUUGUUGCUUGUUAUCCUACUUCCGGAAAUGUUUCUUCUUAGAGCGUGCCUUUUUGUAUGCAAUGUUUAGUCUGUUGCCUUGAUUAGCAGCCUCGUAGGUCCUUACAUCACUAAGCAUUAUUUUUGUAUCCCAUGGUUGUAUUUUGCUGUGUUUAGUUAUUGAAUUUACGGUUUGCCACCGUGUACUGUGGGUGGCUUUUUUGGCUGGGUAUUUCUUGCACGUUCAGUUUUAUGCUUUUUUGGCUGGGUAUUUCUUGCACGUUUAUUUUAAUGGAUUUUUAUGGCUGAUAUUUAUAGUUGUUUUCUUUGGUUGUGUUCUGUGGUGUUGUUAUAUGCAUGAUGAGCUGCUCUGGCUCUUCCGCCAAUCCAACAGAUUCCAUGGAUUUUAUGAUUCAAGGGGUUUUUUAGCUACAACAGGUGUAUAUAUAUGUGCCGACGUUAAACAGGUUCGGCCUGAUGUCAAGCUUAUGUAUUGACAGACUUUUACGUAUGCCUGGAGUUCAUUGUGAUGGUUUUGCUUCCAACCCUGUGACCUCUAUCAUCACAGUGAACAUAUUUUCCCAUUAAGACCACGAACGGCUUUUGUUCCUUACGGCUUUUACGUAUAUUGCCUUAUUUUCCUUAACAUUUUUAUACUUCCUUAUUACUUUUUACGAGUGGCUUGCCAAUUAACCUACUGAUCUGUGCUCCACUCAAGAUAUAUAUAUUCCGUUGCUGGAAUGCAAGUUACUGAUGCACUCGUUGUUGCCCGAUGUAAUGUGCCAACGAUUGGUUUUCGUAUUCCUAAAUUAUUUCGCUUAGUUAGUUUUCUACUGAACUUCGCCUUUUUCCUUCCUUGUCCAUUCUACCAGCCUCAUGUAUGGUAGCCUCUAAAUAUUUAGUUCUAUGCUAUGAUCGGUAUAAAAGUAAAUACCUUCUUGCUGAUGCCUAAAUAUUUAAUUGCCCUCACUAACAUCUUUUUCCCCCACGGCUGUUUAAUUGCUUGAAUUAAAUCGGAAGGUAUCGUAUAUGUGUUUUGCCUGUGCCAUUUCCCCCCAUAAAUUUUUUUUUCUAUCUUCCAUUCACUUUUUUUUUUACCAUAAUUAUAUGCGCAAUACUUUUAAAUUCGGCGAACAGAUUUUUUCUUUUUAAUCGUAUCUAUAUUUUUUUGGCUAUAUUUUUAGAAAACGAAAAAAUAAGUCCGUAAGCUUUUCCGUCAUCAUCCUGGUGUUAUAUGUGAAAAAAAUUAUAACGACCUGUUUACCUUUCGUUAAGACUUUUUAGUUUUUACUUGUGCUGUCUUGUACUUUUGCCAUGGGAGUGUCUAUUUUUUUAGCUACUUUAGUGUUUCCCCCUAUGUCUAACGUCUACUAGAGAAUUGCCUUUUGUUGCCUUUUCUUCCCCUUAUGUCUCAUUGUUUCCCUUUACGCCUGUUCCUUAUCAAUAGUUUUUACCUUGCAGAUGGUUGUGCUUUCGCCUUAGUUCAGGAUGUUGUGAAUCUUUCCUUUGUCAGGCGCUUUUAAUUGUAUAUGCUCAUAGUUGUCUCUAUCUUCGUUUUAUCUAGGUUCUCUAUUAUCGAAGCUUAACGAUUUUUAUGCUAUCUAAAUAUCCGUGUAGGCAACAGAGCCCAGUAGCUUACGAUCAUUUAGACUAUGGAACAGAACCAUUCUUUCUUGGUUAUCUUUUCAAAAAUGCCGCUCGGUUCUCCAAUGCUGCAGCAUUGUCCAUUAAUAGUUACUCAUUUUCUUGGUCAAUGUGCUCCUACCUCUUUGAAAUUUUUUCUCAACUUAGGUCUUCUUUUCCUUAUCACGCGUUUUUAUUUAGUGGUCUUUUCCGUUGUAUUCUCACAACUGCUGGCUUGCUUGGAACUUUUGUCCUCUGUGUUGAGCUUUCCAGGUAAUUUGUUCGUUCUUCUCUUAUUGUUUGUUCUUUACCGGUCCACGCUGCACUAGCAUUAUACGUAGGCAAGUUUAUGUUAUUUUUGCACGCCAUGUGUUUGUUACAUGCAUGUAAUGCAUAAGGCAGCCUCAUCUAGCAUUUUAUUUGCAUGAAAGUUAUCGUUGUAAAAGAACAAUGUAUCUACUGUCUUGUGAUUAUCUUGUCCUUUUUUUCAUGGGUUUCUUCUUUAACUGCACUUCCCUUGAACCUACAUUGGUUGCUUUGUUCUCAUAUAUAGACGCAUGACUCGUAGACCAUUGUCCUUUUCCGAAACGUUAGCUAUUCUGCUUUCAUUUUUUUGUUUCUCUGAACAUUACGGUUCUUAAAAAUCUAUGUUUGCUUUUUUCCACGUUAUCUUGUUCUUUUCCCAACAGGAGUUUCUUCUUGCACAGCGCUUUCCUUGAACUUGCAUUGCGUGCUUUGUUCCCAGGUAAACUUCUACUUUUACCGACCCAUUUUUUCUUUUUCCUGUUCUUGAUUUAACGAACUUUGAUGUGUUUUGCAUUCUGUAUAUCUGCUAAUUUCUAAAUAUUCCUGUUAGUCCUCAUUUUCUACUCUUUUUCCCUGCUACAUUGGUUUAUUCUUUAUGUGUUCUAUUUUUCUCUACCUUGCGAUUUAACCUUUUUGCCAUCUGUUGUGAAGUCUUUUCCUCCUUCAAUUUUUUUUGUUGGCUACUCUGUUAAUACCACUACCUUUUAUGCUGCUCGUCAUAUAGUGUUUGCUUCAUGGUCAAUGGAUUAUAACUUAAAACGGCGCAUGCGAUACGCUGCUAUGGAUCAAGAGAAGAAAGAUGCUUUGUUACGCCGUAGGAGAGCAGCGUAUGCUGCGAAAAAACAAAGUAGUCUCUUGCUCCCACUCUUGUUGUGCAACCGUUAGAGAAAAAUAGGUCUAUGCUUGCCCAUUGUUCAACUGGUUUCGAGACUACCUCUAUUCAGGUAGAUACGCCCUUUGGAGCCUGUGAAAUACCUGAUACAGAUGUUCAGAUAUAAUGGGUAGCGAUGAAUUAGCUGAUGCAUUUGAUGUUAUUUCUGAACGGCUAGCUUCGAAUGUAAGAAGCCAGAACUUGCCUCCUCAAAGCUCCUUACCUGUUAGUUCUAACGUGCUUUGCCGGCUAGGAGGUAUAUUAUUUAUUAGACUAGAUUCCUGAGUUAUACAGUCUUUAUUUAUCCAUCUGGCCAAUUUCUGAUUGGAUUCUCUUUUGAAUAUACCUCCUUCCUACCGCUUACAUAGAUUCCUCUGUUCUUAUCUCUCCAGUAAUUUAUACCUGGCUCUCUCGUGCACUACUGUUGUUCCUUCGUUGUGUCUUACACCAAAAUUAUCUAUAGCUGAUUCCAAAUCAUCAUUCUUCUAUGUAUUUCUAUUAUGGUUAACCUGUCUAAGAUUGUGUCCUAUUUUUUUUAGUUCAUGGCAUGGUGCCUGUUGAAGAGGGUACCUGUGUUCUUGAUUUUGGUAACUCUAGAUUUUCUGAUUCUUCAAACAACCCACAGAUCGUUGUGAAUACACGCGUUGAGGGCGAAUGUUAGUGAUGGAUUGUCUCAUUUCUUUAUGUACAUCUAGGAGUAAGAUUUUGGUGAUUUGCUCUUGUCCGUCUACGGUGAUACAUUUUUUUCCCUAUUGUCUUAGGAAAAAGAAACGACCUAGAACCACAAUUCUUCACGCUUCAAAAAAAUACCGACAAAACCUCUUGUCCUGCCUAGUGUUCCGGACUGUGAGCACUGUGGAGCAAAGAGGUUUACCUUGGAACCGCCCAAAUUUUGUUGUCGUGGUAGGGGAUUUCUGUAGUUUGUCCGAAAAUGCCUUAUGAACUCUUUCGUCUUUACUCUGGUACUGACGAGGAGUGUAUUGAGUUUCGCAAAUGGGUUCGAACCUAUAACAAUAAUUUGGCCUUCACAUCAUUUGGCGCCAAGUAUGAUCGUGCCUUAACAAAGAAUACAAGGGUGUUUAUACUUUUCGGGUGCAAGGCCAGGUGUACCACUUAUUGAACAGUUUGGUCUCUCCCACUGAUCAAGCUACUGGUGUUCAACUCUAUUUCUACGAUCAGGAAGAGGAGUUGUAAAAAGAGUCGCUGGUUCGCCUAGACUACGUGAAAGUACCCUCAAAUUGUUGAUGUGUAUUCUUGAAGCUAAUCCAUACACUAAAUUUUUCAAAGGCCUUCGAGAUGUUCCUGAUCUAGACAACCAUAGGAUUGUUCUCAACUCUGAUCCUCGGUUGGAUCAGCGUGUGUACAAUGUGCCUACUUCGUCCCAAGUUGCUGCCAUUUGGACAGAGAAUGAGGAUGAAGCACUUGAAAAAGGUGCUCAUAUUCAGGUUUAUACACAUUCGAAUGUGAGUCAUAGGAUACCGCAUUAUUUUGCGUCCUAUGAUCCAUUACAGUACCCUCUCUUAUUUUCUCGGGGUGAACCUGGUUGGCAUUAUGGCAUCCCAAAAAGUACUGACCCUAAUGAAAAAAACAAAGAGGCUGACGAUGAUGAUGAUGUCAUGCCUAAUUUUUCCUUAGUUGGGAGUGCAUUAGGCUUGAUUCAACAGUAACACGCAGGCAAGUCUUCUUACUCCGUUUCUGAUUUUUUUUCCCCAGCCACGUGUUAAAUGAAGUGUUACCUAAGUUUCUUAUUCUACUUUUCCCUUUUACGUCUUGCCAUGUAGCUGCUGAGAGUGGGAAAAAACAGCAUGAUACUAUUUCUGCGAGGGAGUACUACUGUUACUUACUUCAGAUGAGGGAAAAUGAUAGAUCAAUGUUGUUGCACACAAGGAGGCUGUUACAGCAAUUUGCUGUUGAUAUUUAUGUGAAGAUCGAAACAUCUAGGCUUGACUUCCAUAGAAAGAAUCAAACUAAUAUUAGGACUGAGAUUCUACAAGGUGUAAUGGAUAGUCUAUCUGCUGGUCACACCGAAGGAAAAAAUGUCGAUCGUCGAGGUUAUCUCCCAGCUUCUUUCAUUGGUGGUCCAAGGGACAUGCGCCGUAGAUAUGUUGAUGCGAUGGCAUUAGUCCAGAAAUUUGGUAGGCCGAAUCUUUUCAUUACCAUGACAUGUAAUACGCAGUGGAGAGAAAUCCAAGAAAAUCUCAAAUAUGGAGAAGAUGCGCAGGAUAGGCCUGAUUUAAUGUCAAGAGUGUUUAGAGCAAAAUUUGAGCUGCUCAAGGCUGAAAUAGUAAAAAAAAAUAUUUUUGGGGAGGUUGCUGCGUGUGUUCAUGUUAUUGAGUUCCAGAAAAGGGAUCUCCCUCAUGCUCACCUCUUAGUCAUCCUUAAGCCAGAAUUUAAACCAUUGAACUCUGAUUCUUAUGAUCAGAUUGUGUCUGCUGAGAUUCCAGAUCCAGAGAAACAGAGCUAUUUGUACAAUCUUGUCAUCAAGCAUAUGAUGCAUGGACCAUGUGGAGUUCUGAAUAAGGACAAUGUUUGCAUGAAAGAUGGGCUCUGUAAAAACCAUUAUCCAAAAAAUUUUAGCGAAUUCACAGUCCAUACUGAGGAUAGCUACCCGCAUUAUAGAAGGCGGAAUAAUGGACGAUCUGUAAGGGUGCGUAAUAGCAGCCUAGACAAUCGAUGUGUUGUGCCAUAUAACCCAUUCUUCUUGCUCUCUUUGACUGUCACAUGAACGUCGAAAUCUGUUCGACGGUUAAGUUGGUCAAUUAUUUGUAGAAAUAUGUCUAUAAGGGUCACGAUCGUGUUAGCUUCCAUAUUUAUUCAGAAAAUAACCCUGACGACAUAGAUGAAAUAAAGGAUUUUCAAGCUGGGAGGUAGGUAGCUGCUGCUGAAGCUUUUUGGCGUAUUUAUAGGUUUAAUCUGAAUGAAAUGACUCCUGCUGUGUAUACUCUUCAGUUACAUCUUCCAGGUCAGCAAAUGAUCUCUUUUCAUAAAAAUACGAAUCUUGCUGAUCUCUUAGAUCGAGUCGAUUUUCCCAAGACAAUGCUGACAGAGUUGUUCCGCAUGAAUAAAACCAACAAACAAGCUCAAAAUCUUAAAUGCCUGUACCGUGACUUCCCAGAAUUUUUUGUCUGGAAGGCUGCUAGGAAAAGAUGGACUGAACGGAAGAGAAAAAGAGUCAUUGGUCGUGUUGUUACUGUUGCUCCAAAUGAGGGAGAGCUACUACUUGCGACUUCUCUUAUCUCAUGCUCGUGCUCCCACGUGUUUUGAAGAUCUCUUGACUGUUAAUGGAAAGCUUAUGAUUUCUUAUAGAGAAGCUGCCUUCCAAAUGGGACUUCUUCAAUCAGACACACAUUUGGAAGACACGCUUAAUGAAGCAGCUGCCUUUCAGAUGCCCUCUUCAUUAAGAACUCUCUUUGCAAUCUUGUUAGCCUAUUGUUCGCCAAGCAAUCUUAGAGUCCUGUGGGAAAAAUAUGAAGCUGUAAUGUCAAGCGAUUUUGAGAGAGCUAAGAGUUUUUCUGUUCGAACUGUUGAACACAUAAGAAGAUGUGUUUUGCUGGAUAUAAAUAAAUCCUUGGAACAAAUGGGAAAAAUGUCAAUGACUACCAUUUGGUACCUGAUGAUUUCAUUCUCAGUCAAGAUGAGCGCCUCACAAGAGAAAUUCAGAGUAAGCUAAGCAUACAAUUUACAGAGCAGGACUUGUUAUUACCUUCACAGCUAAAUAUAGGCCAAAGAUAUGCCUAUGAUGUUAUUCUACGAGAGGUUUUCUCCUCUGGCAAUACCAGUUUCUUUGUUGAUGGACCCGACGGGACUGGUAAAACCUUUCUUUAUCGCUCUAUUCUGGCAACGCUUAGAUCUCAAGGAUUCGUAGCAAUAGCUGUUGCAUCAUCUGGAGUAGCUGCAUCUAUUCUUCCAGGUGGGAGGACCGCACACUCAAGGUUUAAAAUCCGUUGGAUAUAUUUCUGCAGCAAAGUCUGUCAUAUCAGCAGACAGAGCUCUAUUUCUAAGCUUAUUAUAAUGGCUAAAUUAAUUCUAUGGGAUGAAGCUUCUAUGGCCAAGAGGGACACGAUUGAAAUUUUUGACAGGUUGCUGAGAGAUGUAAUGGAUUCUGAUCUACCCUUUGGUGGCAAAGUAGUAGUAUUUGGGGGAGACUUUCGUCAAACUUUACCUGUAUUUCAGAAUGCAACAAAAGAUCAGCAAAUAGAAGCCAGCUUUGUCAACUCACCUUUGUGGAGUACUCUUCGGAAGUUAAUCUUGACUGAAAACAUGAGAGCUAUCUCUGAUGGCCACUUCUCUGAUUUCCUGCUAAGGAUAGGCGAAGGUUGCGAACCAGAAGACGAUGAUAGAAAGAUAACUCUAUCAAAGGAUAUAUCAAUCCCUUUUGAUAACAGAGAAAGUUCACUAAACAGGUCAAAUUUCAUUUUUCUUUUCAGGCUCCGUCAUUACUUUGUUAAUGUACAUCAGAUUUAUUAAAUGUGUUAUCUUACCGAAAUUGUUUGUUAACCAGGUUAGUGAAUUUUGUGUUUUUCGGAUUUGAGCGUGUAUUCAUCUGAUCCAUACUAGAUCACAAACAAAUGUAUUCUUACUCCAAAGAAUACGUGUGUUUGAUGAUAUAAAUGAGAUGAUGAUUGACCGCUUUUCUGGAGAACCUUUUGUGUAUAUUGAGCAUUGAUCAAACUAUUAAUGAGAGGGAUCAAUCUGACUACGAAGACUUUUUAAAUUCUUUGAAUCCCAAGGGUCUGCCCCCUCAUAAAUUGGUGCUAAAGGAAGGUUGCCCAAUUAUUCUUCUUAGGAAUUUGAAUCCUGCAGAAGGCUUAUGCAAUGGAACUCGGCUUAUAUGUAGACAGCUAAAGCAGCAUGCGAUUUGUGCAGAGAUUGCAGUUGGUCAGCAUCGAGGAAAAAGAGUUCUUUUACCAAGGAUACCUCUCCAAACAUCAGACAAUGAAAAGAAUGGAGUUCCUUUUAAGCGAACCCAGUUUCCCAUCAGACUUUGCUUUGCUAUGACGAUUAACAAAUCGCAGGGACAGACUUUGGAUCGUGUGUUGAUUUACGAGAGAGCCUGUGUUCUCACAUGGCAAGCUAUAUGUUGCGCUAUCUCGUGCUAGGACAUCGUCUUCUAUUAGAGUUUUAAUAUUACUGGAACAUUCAGUGAUAUUAUAACUGAAUUCAAGACAAGAAAUGUUGUAUUCCAUGAAAUUUUUAGUUUGUCUAAGAAAUAAAUCUUACGUUUAAAGUGUACGUAGUACUCAUGCAUAACUGAAACUUUAUAUGAAGCUAUCCUUUUUAUGCAGCCUUUUCUCUGUCAUUCCUGUUAAAGACAGAUUUGAUAGUUUUGUUUCUUUGUUUGUUCCAGUAUGGCAAAUACAUUGUAUAUUGAUGAUGUUGUGCCUGGAAUGAAGUCUUGGACAGCUGAAGUAAUAGUUCAAGAAAAGUUGAACCCAGGAUCUUCAACUUCCACACCAACCAGAUUCCAGAGACUUAUUUUUGUUGACUCAAAGGUACAUUUCUAUUCAUUCUCUUUCAGUUAACAUGUCCAUUGCCUUUGUUCACCCCUAAUCAUUAUUGCUGUACGUUUUAUUUAUAAUUGGUCAGCCUCUAUUUUAUUUAUACUUGAUCAGCCUCUAUUUAUAUGCAUUUGCGUUUGAUACAGGGUUCAAGAGUUCAAGGGAUUCUUUUUAACUAUGCUAUUGAAAAAAUGGGGCCAAAGUUUCAACUUUUCAAGAAAUAUCGUAUCUCAAAUGCUGAAGUGAAGAAAAUUCCAGAGAAAUUUAGAACUGAUGGAAUUGAACUCCAAUGGAUUAUAGGAACACAGACUGUUGUUGAGGAAAUUGAAAGUGAAGGAAACAGUGUCUUGCCGCUUCAAUUCAAGCUUACACCAUUUAGGGAAUUUGCUCGUUAUGCAGAUUCAAAGACUGAAACUGUUGGUCAGUUUGGCCUUUAAUCUAAUGUUGAUUGAAUUUUGAUGCUGUGAUUUAUAGAUCUCUGACUUAAACUCCUACUCAGUAAAAUUUUUUGCUUUCAUUUAUGAUACUUUGUCUACCUUUACUACUAUCUUUCUUCAAAUUACAGAUGUUCUUGGUAUUGUUAUUGAUGUCCAUUCUGUCAUCCCAAUCAACAAAGACUCGAAGGAAUCAUUUGUCAAUGAAGAGUAUGGACUAUUUUUUUCCCAAUUAUUCCCUGUUGUGCACUACAUAAAAUUAUGUCCUCAAGCUUAUGUGCUAUGAAAUCAGUUUAAAAGGUUACGUUUUACUGUUUCUUAUGUAGGAUGAAUCCAAUGAUAUUAUCUUUUUGGAACGACUUCAUUGAGAAUGAGGGUAAGACUAUCACUGAACAGAAGGACAACUAUCCAGUUGUGAUAGGUCGCAGACUCAAGGUUGUUACUUAUGGAGGUGAGGCCUAAUAGAAGUUAAGUUUUUGAUAAUUUAAUUCUAUGUGUGUUUAUUCAUUCCUAUUCUAACUGUAUUUACCUAUCAGGAAUCGCCCUAUCAACAAGAAAUGAUUAAGUUAUUCUUGUGAAUCCACCAGUUAGAGACACCAACCAACUCAAACACUGGUCUCACAAUGUUUAUUUGAUAUGUACUUUCCUUUUUUUUUCUCGCUAGGAUAGGUUACUUGACAUUCAUUACUGCAUUUAUUCUGCAAUGAACUUUAUAGGGCUGUCAGAAAUGAAAAGAGUUUCUCUACUCUUGUUCAAAACAAGUCGUACAGCAAUUAUAGUCCCAGAAUGUUUUAUGAUCUAAACCACAAAAUUACCUCGCUUGUGGAUAUUACCCCAGCUCAAAAGGUCAUGACUUGUUUAUUGCUGGAUUCAAUUCUUCAAAUGAUACAACUGUGUUAUUUUCCUGAUCUGUUUAUACAUAUAUAUACACCUAAAUAUUCCUCUAAUCUGUUUACAAAUUUCUGUAGGUGGCGUGGGUUAAGGCUUGCUUUUCUUUUGAACAUAUACUGCAGAAGUAUUGGUAUAUGUCUUGUAUUAAAUGUUACCGGAUGACAUCAGCAAACUAUGAUUCAGUUUACAUAUGCAACCACUGCAAUGAGAAACAUAGAGCUGUACCAAGGAAAUUAGCACUUUUGUUCAUGAGCUAUUAUUGUUCUAAAUAACAUUGACUUUCUUGAAUUUACUGACUUAUUUCUGAAGUACAUAUUGAUGCAGAUGUCGUUUCGAUGUUGAUCUUACUGAUGAAACUGACACAGUCACAGCUUCAAUAUUUGACGAACUAGCAGAAUCGCUACUUAAAUUCACUGCACUUCAAGCACUGGAGCACUAUAACAAGGUCGAAAUUACGACUACCUUUGCCUAACUUUGUAUUAAAUGCAUGCAAAUUAUCAUACUAAUACACAUUGAUGGGGUUAUUUAACAGAAUGAAGAAUUCCCACUGGAAACUGUGCAUAGAGAGCUUAAAGAAAAGAUGUUCAUUGCCCAACUGAAGCCAGGAAAUACAAAGGAUGGUAGUGGAAAUCACCGUUACACAAUUGCUUAUUACUUUGAAGAAAAUGCAGCAACAUCUUCUUUCAACAAAGAUUCCUGCGUCAAUGUUCAGAAUCAGUUUCUUCAAACUGAAGCACAGAACUCAGAAGCUGGUUCUUCAGGUUCCUUUUUUUACAAUCUUGUUUUCCAUUCCUCUUGUUUGCUUUAUUAACAUUGCUUGUUUUUUCAUUCUAGAGGGACAACGAUCUUCUUCAAAACCACGAGUUCGCCUCACAAGAAGGUUUAGAGAUGCUGGAGAAAUAGAAGAAGAACCUACAGAAGUUGAUGACUCUUGCAACAACAAAAAAACAAAAACUGUCUGAUCUUUCCUUGUCUAUGCUACUCUAUUAAGUUGCAUUAGUGCAGUUACAGAUCUUUUGAAUACUGUCAGGAGUAGACAAGCUCGAGCUGAUGCAAAGCUUGUGUUUUGUUGAAACUUAUAUGUGUCCCUUGCGUUCCAUUUAGAUGCUUUUGCUUGGAAGGCUGACAUCUUCUACAUUGUUGUUAGCAAUGAAUUUUAUACUGUGUACCUCCCGAAUGCUUAUUAACAUAUGGUAUAUUUAUCCGUUUAUUCAUCAGCGCACCUAGCUUUUGUAGCCAUGUAACACAUUGAUUGCCAUGAUUCUGUAUGUGUAACGAACUGUUCUAUCAAUUUGCUACACAAUUUGACAACUGAAAGUACUCUCAUACAGAUGCAUUUUGUUUGAAGCGAGCUCUUUUUUAAUCUACCGCACCAGCCAGUUUCAGAAUUCCAAACAAUUAGACCGCAUUUACAUUUAAUGCAGACUUUCCUUUUUUCUUCAUACUUUCUUACAGUAAUCGACUUUUAAUCUAUGUUGUACUCUUAAUAUUUAAUCCAAACACGCGAUCAUCAUCUAUAUAAACCCUUCAUAAUCCCAUCUAAAUGGGCAUUCAUGCAGGUUACUCCACCGCGCAACGCCGCGGUUAUACCUCCUAGUAUAGUAUAAGAAUACAAGUUAUAAUAGUCUUUGUGUUGCUAUAAUGACCUAAACGACCUCAAUUAUCUAUUAGUCUCUGUUCCUUCUGCGUUUUUUUCCUUUUUUUUUGUAGAUAUCCUUAUCAAUCUGUGUCCUUCUAUUUCACAAAACGUAAGUGUAUAGGAUAUUUAUGAGUAAGAGAGAUGUGAAUAUAUAUAAUUAAUAGAAAUCAUUAGGAUAUUUAUAUUGGAUUCCCAUAAUCAUAACAUAACACUCAACUGAUUCAACUUCUUUUUCUUUACUCUCACUUUAAAGUAUCAAAGUUGAGGAGCUUAUCAAUUAGAAUUAUACUCCUUCCUGAUUAGUUCCUCUAAAACAUUUCCUUUAAUUAUCAAAACUUGUUUCUUUAUAACCUCCUCUUUCCUUCCAUUCCUUUCACUUUAAUACCCAACUAUUGACAUGACAAAAUUCAAAUGCAAAAUUUCUACCUAUAGCUUGUAAUUCCAAUUUAGGGGAGUAAUUUAUUCUAAUUUUGGCUUCACAGUUUCUAGACUUCAAAUGUAAAUCUAUGAUUAAUUAAUUUUCGCUCCAAACUUCAUAUUUACUAUUUCUUUAGUCUUAGCAUAACUAUUAUCAACUUUAUUCAAAUGAAGAACAAUACUUGGAAACUUACUCAAGUUGUCAAAAAUCCAACGACUCGCUCACAAUUGGAGCACUAUUAUUCAAGUGAUUGAAAAAUGAAAAACCAUAGUACUCAGAAGAUGCAAAAUGCUAUCCAAAAUUGCUCUUCGCCAAUGGUUAGGUAAUGUACAAAAAUCCCAACCAUACAAAAUAAACUCUAUCUUUUCUUAUUCCUACUUUGAUCACUAUUAGCCCAAUCAUUGACAUGUAUCAUUUCAGCUUAUAUAUUUAUAUCAUUAUUCCUUGUUUCUCAUUUUCAAACAAAUGCUUUAUGUUAGUUUUAAGAAAAAAUAAAGGUUCUAAUGUAGUGAAAAAAAGAUCUUAAUUUAUACAAGUAACUAACUUGAAUUUGUGAUAAUUUGUAAGAUAUAUAUGCUUCAACAAGUAGGAUAAAUUAUAUUUUUAUUUUUUAAUUAAUUCUUUCUUCAUUUGCUUUAUACAUGGAUUUAUCCAUAUUUUUUUAAUUCAUUCAAUAUCAUUAAGGAAUAUGUGAUUAUACCAUGGAAAACUCAUUUAUCUUUGUUAUGUAAUAAAUAUUAUGUGCUAAUUGAGAAAGUUUUAGCCAAUGAGUUGUCUGGUCAAAUUUUAUACCUAACAUUUUCUUCUAAUACAUUGUCACUGUACAGGGACAAAAUGUUGAAGCCCUAAUUUAUUGUAUAGAUAUAGAAUAUUUGAACAAAUUUUUGACACCUAUAAAAUAUACUACAUCUCUAAUGCAAAAGUUCAACCCAUUUUGACCAUAAGUUCCACACAAAAAAAAAUGAAAUAUUCAUGGAUCAUUAACACCACAACUAUUAUCCAACAAUUGUAAGAAAUUAACAGGCCACUCUCAUUUCAGAUGCCUCCAUCUCCCACCUUAAUAGAAAUUACAAAAUAUGUAUGAUCCAAAUUUUCCUUCAAAAACUAACAAGUAUGCCUCUUAAAUAACGCCAUUAAUAAAUUCAUAUGUUCAAACUUUCCUACAAUUGCUAUUCACAAUCAAUCACAACCUACAAUAGCAGAUCUACGUACCACCAGACAAAUCAUCAUUGUUGAUCAACUGUUUGACUAACACCUUUCCAAUUAAUAAAAUGCACUAUAAAUAUAUUCUCAUCAACAAUGUUACACAAUUAUCAACUAAUAGCACUAACUCUUUGACAUGUAUAUGACAACAAUGAGAACCAACCAAUAGUUGACAUUGCUCUCUCCCCGACACAAGCAUCUUACGACAUUAAAUAUUACAAAUAUUACAAAAAUUACAAAUAUUCAAGAUGGAUUAUUACACUCAGAAAUAGCUUCUAAUAAAAUAUUCAAAAAUUUUGCAGCUCUCAACCUAUCUAUAAGAUUAGAGACAACCCAAGGAAAGACACUACUACAAUAGAGAUUACCAUCUACAAUAAAAAGUUAAAUUUAACAGGCUACUACUUUAACUUCAUACAAAUACGAGAGGCACUAUGAAAGAGAUUUAUGAAUUCCGCUUUUAUCUAAUAUUCCAUUUUUAUAUAGUUUAAUAUACAGUUACACUUAAUCUUCUAAUAGUAAUAGUUCUCUUUUUCUUAUUACAAAUUACACUUCUUUACUAUUACACCAAACAAAAACUAUAAGGUAUCUUAAACCAUAGGUGCUAAAUUCCCGUGUGAUACAUGGGCUCUCCCUCUACUUUUUCUAAAGAAAAGUUACUUUGGCAAAAGACUCUUUGUUUUUUUUUUCAAAAAAAUAAGGUUAUACAAUUAUGGGACCAAUGCAAGAGAUUACAAAAGAUUUUGAUUGUUCUUGUCCGCUUUUAUUAUCCCUUAUUACAUUUUGCCACUUUUCUAGUUGGAUUGAAAUCUAUCAUAAAACAAAAGUUCAAAAUGAAAACAAAUAAUCAUCAUGGAAACAUAUCUUUACGAGUAAUUAAUUCCACAGUACGUUGGGAUAUCAUUUCAUUAGUUAAAUAAUUAUUAGUUAGACAUAUGUUAAGUAAAUGAUUUGAUUACAUUGAGAUAGCUAGUACACUAUCCUAACAUCGGUAUAAAAUUCCCCAACCUUUUGUCACAUUAAAUCUAAUUAGAAAAAGGAAAGUAAAAAAAAAAAACAUAUCUUGAGAAAAAAAUCCCAGAUUUAUAGCUUUAAUCCAUAUCAUGCAAAUGGAUUAGAUACCAAGCCGAGUAUCUAUGAGAUUUUACCCUAUCCAUUAUUAUUUGUUAGCCUCCUACCUAUUGUUAGCACUUAAGAAAAUCAUAUCAUGAGAACAGAUAAAAGACAAAAUAGAUUUGAUGUUCUUGGUGGUUUGGUACGCUUUUAAAAAGAUAUCCAUAUAUUCUUGUAUUGAGAAAACUGAAAAUCCUAAGUACUUUUUUUGUGCACAAACACUAAAGGAUCUCAAAUUAACAAAAGAACAAACAGGUUUAGUUGCCUUAUAAAGGGAAAAUAGCUCUUGUUUCUAAAAUACCUUGUAUUUGGACUCUCUUCAUUAGUACGAGAAUGACCCGCUCAUCCUAUCGGUUGGACUCGCUCCACGAGAAGAACUUGCCACAUCCCUAUGCGAUGACUUGUAAGAAUAUUGCUGCCCUCUCCAUGUUUAGCCAUCCCAUCCCUAUGGAAGGGGCGAAGGACUCGCCAUACAACCGCUUGUAGGAAUACUGCUAUCCUCUCCAUGUCUACCAGCUCCAAAGGAGAACUCGCCACAUCCCUAUAGGUGGGGGAGGACUUGCCAUUUGACUUCUUGUAGGACUUGUAGGAAUAUUGUUGCCCUCUCCAUGUCUAACCGGGCCAUGUAAAUUACAAAAUGUAAUAAUAAUAAUAAUAAUAAUAAUUUGUAAAAUCCAUGCCAGCUAUUGUCACUGAAGUAAUAAUCUGUUAUAUAUUUUAAACAAUACCUAUUUGGUGAAUCAUGAGUUUGUGUUGCCCCAGCACCAUGAACAGGAGGUUCCCUGUAAUAAAGAAUAUCCACAAAAUCAAAAACAAUUUACAAUUGACUGUCACAAUCGACAAUCGACAAAUGUAGUACGUCUUAGACAAAGUACUCAUCUGCCAACCUCUUUAUCCAAUAUCAUCAUCAAAGAAAUACCAUAUCAUGCAUGCCAAGUUAAUGGCGGUUUCCACAAGAAAAGUCCAAUAUGUGCAAUUGAUAGUUUAUGUUCCUUUUGUCCCGCCUUAGUUAUAGUGAAACUGAUAGCCUUUGCAUUUAAAUUUGUUGCAGAAAAAAUAAAAAAAAUGUUCAUAAUAAAAUAUGGAAUGCAUAUUUAGUGUUAGUUCCUGGUCGCGCUUAGGAUUUUUUUUUAAAAUUUUUUUGGCAAACCCGAUAAACAUGUAAGUAAUCUUUCCAAAAGGUCACUUACAUAUAUAUAUAUAUAUAUAACAAGCCAAAUAUUAUGGAGUAACUAUCCAAAUUCAAAUGGGAUGUACCUGCCCCAUCUGUCUGCUAACGUGUCUUUCUCCUACUCUUAUACACUUUCAGAGAGGCCACACGUUGGGAAGCUCUAUCACCAGUAGUUAUAGAGGAACCGUACGAGAUCAACGAGCAUAUUAAUACUACCAUGUAAGCACUUGUUCACUUUUCACAUGUUGAAAUAGUUGUUGUGGAAUUGUUAUUUAAGUUUUAUGACUAAACAACUAACAGGGAAACUUAAAAUAAUAAUAACAAUAGCAAAAUGCUCUAAUGACCCUCAAACAGUUACGAAAUUUAAUUUUUGAUCCUCAAAUUAUUAAUUGAUAAGUUUUAGCUCUCCAAUUAAUUAAAACAUAUAAUUCAAGCCAUUCCAUCAACUUAAAUCGUUAUGUCUAUCCCUAAAAAGGUAGAGGAAAGAAAACACAUAAACAAAACAUAAACCACAAAAUUCAACAAUAGCAAGUUGUUAGGUCCUAGUACUAACUUAAUCGGUUCCAUUUGAUAAAACUGAAUCUGAAUUUUGAAGUCUGAAUUCUGAAAUUUGAAUACUGAAACAAUUAAUUUACUGAAUUUUAAGCACUGAAAAGAAAUAUAUAAAUCUCUGAAUUUUAAUACUAAAUCUAUUUAUACUAUUUAAUAAACAUUUAUAACUGAAUGCUUAAUAAGUUAAAUUUGACAAUUUUACCCUUAUAUCUUUUCAUCCAAAAAAGAAAUAGAACCUAUGAUUUAAUUAGUUUAAAAUUUUUAAGUAUAAAAAUGAUAAUAUUUAUUUUUAAAUCAAAUUAAUAUAAAAAAUGAAAUAUAUUAUAUGAGAAGUAUGGAGAAGAUGUGAAAGUCAUUAAAAUAGGAGAAAAGAGAAAUAGAAAAUCAUUAGAUAGAGAAUAUUACGUUGUUUAAUUAGAUAAGAAAUUUGAAUAUAAUUAACAAACAAUGGUAGAUUUGGUAGAUAAGAUAAGGUAGUUGACGUAAUUCUAUUGAUUAUUAUCAGAAUUAAGCAUUCAGUUAGAAUUCUUGUGCUAAAAAAAAUACACACAAGUUCAGCAAAUGAAUUUUCAUUUAUCAAACAGUCAAAACAUCUGAAUGUCUGAAAAAGUUCAGAUUCAGCACUUUUUUUAUGUUAUCAAACAAAAUCUGACAUGAUAUCUUAGUACCCUGAGAACGGCAUUGGUGAAAAACAAACAUGGCUCUCUCAUAUGAUCUUCAUAGUCAUAUAGAACAAAACAAGUUUCUGACUGGCUCUAACUUGGUGUAGUAUGAAUCCACAAUUCCACGGGGCAUAUACAUCUUUGGCUCAUAUAGUUGUUCAGUUUCCCAUGCUUUAGCCAUUUCUGCGCAAGCCAAUACCAAUUAAACAUUGAAUUCAAUUAAACCUUUUCAUUUCACUUAUAGAUAAACAAGAAGAAAUAAGACAUACCAUAUACCACUCACAAAAUAAAGAAAAAAUCUAAAUAAAAAUUUAUCAAACGAAUAAGGAAAGUAGGAAGAGCAAAAGUUUUUGGAAUUCACCAACCACCACGUACGGCUAAAAUGCUAAAUCAAUCAUAUCUUACUGCUCAAAGUAUUGUUGUGUACUUCUGUUACGUAGAGUAGUAAAGGUGUAGGAGAAAAUCAACUCAAUCAGGAGCUGCUAGACUUGAGAAAGCAACUCGAGAAAGAGAGGCAAUAUUAUUGAAGAUUCAGGAGAAUGAAUAAAAACAAUACUAAUUUUCAGAUUGUUCUACACCCUUGUUGCUCGUCCCUUUUAUACAAGAAUUACAAGUAUUCCUACCACCGCUUUUCUAGUGCUGCAAUUCAGCUCUAACUGAUUUGAUUCUUGCUAACUUUCAUUAGGCUACAAUCGCUACUACUUUACUAUGUUUUUUUUUGUUUUGGGGGGAGGAUAUUAUACAACGCCAUUAAUAAAGUAAUAUAACUAAUGCAAAACGGGAAAAAAAAACACUAAGAACUGAGAUGUGUGCAUAAUAAUUACAAGGAUAAAAGGAGUAAGAGGAUGAUCGUCGUUAAAAGGAUUGAUCCAAAGAUGUGAACUGCAACUUGUUCGGAGAUAUUGAGAUUUUCUAGAGUGAACAACCUCAUUUUUAUACUAAAACUUAGCUGACAAAGAAAAACACAGUUUUGGUUUAGAUCCGUAUGACUUUAGUUUAAUAUUGGAAAAUAAGUUAUUCGAAACAUUGAUGAAAUAUUGAUUUUAGAGCAAAUUAUCCGUUUGGCCAUUAAACUUUUGCAAUCGUCGAGUUUUGGUCACUCAACUAUUAAAAGUCUGGUUUUGACCACUCAAAUGUAUAAAAGCAAGACGCAAGGUCAUUCUUUUAGAUUUAGUCGUUAACUUUGCUGAUCUGUCCGUUUGUGCGAUUUUCAAUACAAAAAGCAAGAUCAAUUUAGGAAGUUGAAAAUAGAUCUUCAAAGCCGCAAUCAAGUCCAAUUCAAUUAAGCCAUAUUCAUGCCUUGGCUCCUGGAACUUCUCCGACGACUCUUACUUCAUUCCUCGGGCUUAUUUCUCCUACGGUCUUUUAUGCAGUGGCAACAGUGUAACCCAGCUCACCCUCAACCCGGCUGAUUAUGCCGGCACCCUGACUCCACUCAUUUCUAAGAUCGCUCAGCUCGUCACGCUCGACCUGUCAACCAACAAAUUCUCCGGCCCAAUCCCUCCGCGCUACUCCCUAACCAAUCUGCAAACUCUUGUACUUCGAUUCAACUCCUUCUCCAGUAUAGUCCCACCCUCUUUAACCGCGCUUAAAUCCCUCGAUACGGUUGAUUUCUCUCACAAUUAUCUUUCGGGAUCGUUGCCCAACUCGUGGAGCUCGAUCGGCAGCUUGAGAAGGCUUGACCUGAGUUACAACAAACUCAUCGGUUCACUCCCCAAGCUCCCGCCAAACCUCAUUGAGCUGGCGAUCAAAGCCAAUUAUCUGUCCGGGCCGCUUUACAAGACUUCAUUCCAGGGAUUAACUCAAUUGGAGGUUGUUGAACUCAGCGAGAACUCGUUUCCCGGGACACUUGAAACUUGGUUUUUUCUCUUGCCUACUUUGCAGCAGGUGGACUUGGCGAAUUACAGCUUCACGUGGGUCGACAUCUGGAAGCCUAAGAAUGGGAACAGCAACCUGGUGGCCGUCGAUCUGGGAUUUAACAGAAUCGAAUGGUAUUUGUCCGUAAAUUUCGCGGCGUAUGCUCUGUUGUCGUUUCUGUCAUUGCGUUACAACCGGUUUCGUGGAUCAAUCCCUUGAGAGCUUUGAAGAUCUAUUUUCAACUUCCUAAAUUGACAUGUUUUUUGUAUUGAAAAUCGCGUAAACGGACAGAUCAGCAAAAUUAACGACUAAAUCUAACAGAAUGGCCUCGCGUCUUGCUUUUAUACAUUUGAGUGGUCAAAACUAGACUUUUAAUAGUUGAGUGACCAAAACUCGAUGAUUGCAAAAGUUUAAUGGCCAACCGGAUAAUUUGCUCUUAAUUUUAACCUGUCAAACUUCAUUAAAUAUUUGUUUGGAUUGGUUUAAACUUGUUAGGAUCUAGACGAGGAAUAAAUAACUAUUGAGAUAUCAAGUGCAUAACAAUUUAAUGAGAAACAAGUCACAAACAUGAAAGAUAAACGACACACAAUAUUUAACGUGGUUCGAUUCCAUCAUUGAGCCUACGUCCACGGAUAGAAAUCUGUUCUUUAUUAUGAGAGGAAAACUCUAUACAAGAAUACAACUUGAACCCAAACCCAACCCUUGUAUACCAUCUCUCAUCUCCCAAGAAUCCUCUCACACACCCCAUGUAUAACGCUACAUGAUGUCCCUUGUGUCUCUUUGUGUGUCUUUUGUGUAGUAUGCCAACCCACCUAUUUAUAGAGAACAUUAUUGCCAAAAAAUCAAAUAACAAUUGGAAACCAAUACUAUUUCCUAAACUCAUAUAGAGUAGAAAAUAGUAUCUAAUUCUAGCUAAAUAAGGCUUUACUUGACUGCUAUUUCAAGUAACUAAAUCCAAUUAGGAAACUAGUUACUUCCCACACCAAAUAAGAAAUCUAUCUAAAAGAAUUUAAUCCAAUUUUUUAACAAAUCUCCACCUUGGUGAAAAUUUCUUUUAGCAACCAUUUGCCUUCAACUACCAAAUAAUAUGGUACCAAACUACACAUCCGAAUCAAUACAGUUCUGACACCAAAUUGAUUCAAUCGGCAAAUGAACAUGUGUAGUUACCCGAGUCCAACCUCCAGUUGACUCGUGAGAAUGUGCCUCAAUUCACCAUUUUCCUUUGCAGGAUUUCUUCUCACCACCACUUGUAAUCUGGGAUCCCCUUAUGUGAGUUCUAACCCUAACCAUUGAGGUAAUCAAGUGGUAAAAUCAUCAUAUUUCUUCCCAUCCUCAGGACUGUCUCGCCACGUGUGGUUUCCAAAACUCCACCUAAAACGAAAAACUCGUACCUGUCAGAGUCUUCUAGCGCAUAGAAAUUAGAUCUCCUUGUUUUUUUAGGACACAUGUCACACCACCCAAAAAACAUAACCAAAAUCUAAAAUCCACCAGGAUGAAAUAUCAACCGUUGGAGGUGUGAGAAAGUCUCCACCGAUUCACGUCCAAAAUCAACAUUGGACUCCACCUUUUUCUUGACCCUUGAAUCACCUGCCUAGAUUCACCGUCAAGCAUCUCCAUACUUGUCGACUUUUUAUCCUUCACCAUCAAUGCUUUUUGCCAAGCCAUUGAAACAAGGAUACCAUUCAUUAAAUUGUUCAAUUAGUAACAACUACCAAUCCACUUGAUCUUAAUAGUUAACUAGGAUCCAACUACGAACGUUGAGCAGGCCAGUCUCGCAACCAAACUCUGAUACCACUUGUUAGGAUCCAGACGCGGAAUAAAUAACUAUUGAAAUAUCAAGUGCAUAACAAUUUAAUGAGAAACAAAUUACAAGCAUGAAAGAUAAACGACACACAAUAUUUAACGUGGUUCGACUCCAUCAUUGAGCCUACGUCCACGGAGAGAAACAUGUUCUUUAUUAUGAGUGGAAAACCCUAUACAAGAAUACAACUUGAACCCAAACCCAACCCUUGUAUACCAUCUCCCAUCUCCCAAGAACCCUCUCUCACAUCCCAUGUAUAAGGCUACAUGAUGCCCCUUGUGUCUCCUUGUGUGUCUUUUGUGUAGUAUGCCAACCCACCUAUUUAUAGAGAACAUUAUUGUCAAAAAACCAAAUAACAAUUGAAAACCAAUACUAUUUCCUAAACUCAUAUAGAGUAGAAAAUAGUAUCUAAUUCUAGUUAAAUAAGGCUUUACUUGACUACUAUUUCAAGUAACUAAAUUCAAUUAGAAAACUAGUUACUUCCCACACCAAAUAAAAAAUCUAUCUAAAAGAAUUUAAUCCAAUUUCCUAACAAAACUAGUGGAAAGUGAGAAUGACAAGGGAAAUAUAAUAUAGUUUUUUUUGGGGCUAGAAUGUAGAGUUAUACUAGUUUAAAUCUUUUUUAGUUUUUAACUUUUCCUAACCAAAACAUAGAAACUGAAUCUUCAAAGGAGUUAGCAAACCAAUGUGUCCAGAUUUACUCAAGAAUCAUAAAAUCGGCCUAAUACUUAUUUAUCAACAUAAAUAAGUAUACCAUCACUCGAUAUUAACUUAAAUAAGUUGGCUACAAUGUUAUGCUCACCUACACACACACACAAAAACAAUGUUGUGCUCAUCUUUUCUAUACAUGGUUGGAAAACGUGGUUGAUUAAGUGGUGAUAAGUUAUUUUAUGCAAAACAUUUUUUAAUUUGUAGAAACUUUGUAGUUCCCAUAAUUUUUAAUAGCAUUUAGUACCAUUUUUUGAGUGGAAAGCUUCUCUUUUGAGCCAUAGUUACAAUGAAGAAAAUACCAAAUUUGUUGCAUUGUCUAGUUCUAUUAUUUAUUAAGGUGAAAUGUACAUUUUAUCCAUAUUUAAAAAAUAAUCAUUUUUUUUCUUUUUUUUUUUUUGAACUUUUUUAAGUGACAAGUUUUGAAUUCAAAACCUCUACUUAUAAACUCGCUCACCUUAGUACCUUACUAUCCAAUCCAACACUCCGUCCCUCCCUCCCCCUUUGUGUUUGUUGGUUAAGACUUAAGAGUGGAGGUGCUUUUGUCAAAUGAAUGGAACUUGGAAAUUUGAGAAAUUUGGAUCUCAGUUUUCAAAAAGCCAAUUGCUAGUACUCACGCGAUUUUGCAUUGGACACAUAAAUAAGCUUCCCUUGAUUCUUAAUUUAGAUCUUGAAACUGACACUUUCUACAUAUGUGCCACCCCAAAAUGUUCCGAGAUGAAACGGAGGAGGCAUUUGAGAACUGGGCAGUCACUUUGUUUUAUGGAUCCCUUGGGGAAGUUGUCGAGUCUUUUCCAUUAACGGUGAAAAAAAGUAUAUGUAAAUUAACUCUCCAGGCCAAACAACCUUAUGCAAUGCUUAUGUUUCACGCUCCUGCAAUUUGCAAAGAACUGUGCCUUGUGCAGAUACAUGCCAUUAACGAACAGCAGUGAUCGUGAGAAUGAACGGUAUCAACAUGGGUUCUACAUAUGAAUAAACGGAAGGAAUUGCAACACCAGCUAAUAUGUCACAACAUUUAUCUGCACUGAUUGCAGAACUUCCAAUAUACACUGCUACAUGAGUUCCCUAAAUUUGACUCUGCUACGUCAUGAUGCGAAGUAAAAGCUGUACAUGGAGUGCUUAUUCCUGUACAACUAGCAGGAUACUAAUGCGACAUCAAAACUGGGACAAUGAUACAACAUCAAAACUGGUUAACUCGGCCUCUUGCACGAUGAGACUAACCUACGGCCUAAGGGACAGGUCCAUGUCAUUAACAUCUACGAACUGAGUGCUCAAUGAAGCACAGUCACAAGUCAAGAACACUACCCAGAAAAUUGGUUGUUGGCCCUCAAUGGGUUCAUUUAUGUUACUUCUGAUGCAUGACGCAGUCACAUUACAGACAAAGUAGGCUGUAGAAAACAAGAGGUAUAAAUGCAUUAUCAAGCUGUGCUGUAUAGGCCUCCAACAGCCCGCUAGUGGUCACUGCAACAAGUAGAGAAAACCAGUGCUGCACAACACAAACACGGAGAAGUAUGGUAAACCAAAUGGACUAUUAUAGUUAUCUGAAAUAAAAAAACUCAAAUCAUCAUGAUCCAUUCAACUUUCUAUAGAAACAGCUAAAGGAAAGUGGACAUGAACUGAAGCUGAUGAGGACUACGGAAACAUUAGAUAAUUCUUAAUCAUCAUCAUAUGAGAGAGAGAGAGAGAGAGAGAGAGAGAGAGUGAGACCUGACUAAAAAUGUACCCAGUUGUAGCUAAAAGGGGAAGCAGCACAGAACAUGCGACCAAGACAGAAGUUAUACCAGCUGCAGUUCCUUCAAUUGUUUUCUCUGACAAGGAGAGAAUAUAAUACCCUAGUUUACAGAUAAAAGAAGAAUAAAACAUGAAAAAAUUUGAAUGAGCACUUACUGCCAGUUUUGCUCCAUCGUAGAACCCCAUACUUGUGGCCAACCAUUGAAGCCUAAAGGGAAUUUUAAGUAACAUAGUCAGGAACAAAACAUUCUAGCAGGCUUGCCAGAAUGUCAGAGGUAACAAAGUUCCAUAGCCAAAUGUCGAACAGCAAGUUUAGCAAAUGAAUUUGAAAAAAAAAUGGAGAGAUAGAGGAUAGAUGCCAAACAAUUUAUGUCAAGGAUUUAACUACAUAACUCGAUCUUGCACUUGAACAUUCUAAACCAAUAAUUUAGGUUUAUUUUUUAUUUUUUGGGGUUGUGGGCAGUGUUGAGUGGGAAGCAAGUGAAUGUUACUCCAUUUAGUCAAGAAAUGUACCCUAAUUCAACCAUUUAUUAUGUGAAGCAUUGCUUUAUAUUAGAAAAAUGCCUGCCUACAAAUGCCCUUACGUGAAAGCUUGCUCUAUUUCUACAAAUUCAUGGCCUACUCUCAAAUGAACCCCAAUUUCAUGUAUAAAUCUAUAUCAACUGGCAAAAACUUAUAAUAGCAAGAAGUAGGUUGCUCAAAUUAAGUACCACAAACUCGUUAGGAGAAUAUAAAAAAAUCUUAUGUGGAUAUAGCAAGAAGUAGGUUGCUCAAAUUGAGUACCACAAACUCGUUAGGAGAAUGUAAAAACAUCAUAUAUGGAUAUUGGUUGUUUGAACAACAUUUUGAGGCAAACAAAUUUGCACAAUGUGCAAUCAAUUAAAAAAUUUUCAGCAUCGAAUCAAGCAUUGUCAUGACCGAGUAACAAUUGAAGUAAACAAAAGCAACAAACAGUUGACAAAAAUCAGACACUGAACCAGUCUCACCAUUGUAUCUCCGAUUCCGAGGCUCAAAAUUCCAGCAAAAGGGGCAAGAGGUCGAUCAUUAAAGCCAGAAGACAACCAAAUUGGAAGAGCACAGCCCAACAAUAGCGAAAAAUGGCUGAAGGGAACAAUGAAAACAUGAUUGAAACUUCAGAAGAAUUAUUUGCAACACAGCUUGCAAACGUAGGAAUCGUUUCAAAAAUAAAACCUGAUAACAAGAAUCUCUGAGUCACGGUGAUCCGUAAAAGCAUUCAUGAAUUGAUGCACAAGUUGUCCUAGAGGCCAAAUUCUCCAUACCUGCCUAGAGAGAAUGGUUAAUCGCAGACAUAGAAAGAAGUUAUCCAAUAAUGGAAAACCACAAAAGUCUAGCAUGUUAAAAGCUGGAGCAUUGCGGAAACCAUUGAGAAUUUUAUUGUCAGGGGAAAAAGGCUCAAAAUAAGUAAGACCCCUGAUCAAGAUUAAAUGUCAGAUAAAACUCCAAGCAAGCCACGCAAUUUCAAUAACUUUUUCUUGAGCCCUCAAACUUUGAUUUGUUUCAGUUAAGCAUUGUGUCUUUCAGCAUUUUCAAUUCUUUAUAAUCUAAGGCAAUGACUUAUUAUGACUGGAAAAACAAAGGCAUAAAAUGACACUUAUUGAGAGAAGUUUGAAGAAAAGUGAAACAUACUUUAGCAUACUCAGAGAACUAAAAUGAAAAGUAAUCAUAAACUAACUGUAGUCCGAAAGCAGUGGAAGAAUAUUUUAUUUAAUCAUUCUAACACAAUUUCCAAAGUCUAAAGCAGAAAGACUGCAUGUUCUGGUAUUCACCAUAUUAAUUGUUAAUAAUUCUGAACUACUACAAGUGAUCAUUGAGCAUCAAAAAUUCGCACCAAGGUGUUACUGGUAACAGUCACCAUUUCUUGUUCAAAGAAGAAUUUAGAAGCAAACAUGUAGUUUCAAAGUGGAACUUACUCGUAUGAUUUCCAAUAUCAAGAAAACUGCCAAAGCUGCACCGAAUGCCAGGUCAAGAAACUCCGGCUGCAUGUCAUUAUAUGGUCAACACAAAUUUCAAUAUAAUCUUGAUAUGAUGAAAGAUCACUUGAAAAUACAAGUAUACCUUGUUGUUUUGAUCUCACCUGAAGUAUAAGAGCAGGCAAAGAUAACAACUGCCAUCAGAUGGUAGUAUUUCCGAAGAAGAAUCCUCUCUGUCUUACUAUUCUUUGAUAUAUAUAAAACCGUGUAACUGAUGCAUAUAUUAGAGCUAUCCAAUAGGUACAUAAUGACAGUGUCUUAAGUGGUUCUGAGAAUACAAAGUCAAGCACCCUAGCAUGAAUCAGAAUAAGCAAAGUCAACAUGUUAAACUCAGAUGCGAAAGUACACUUACAACACAACAAUAAUACUAAGAUAAACAAAUAUUAUCUGUCAGAGUCCAUUAUGAAGCUUUGUCUCAAAUAAUAGGUAUAUUCCUCCGUAUGUCCAUGUAUCAAGGAGUAACAAAUUACAUAUUACACUCACAUUUCAAGAGUGAGGCCAUUAAUGAGUCUCAUUUCCAGUUUUACUGAUAAACUAAUGAGAUUAGUAUUACCAGUCACAAAGCGAAUGAAUUUCAAGUAUUACCAGUCAAUUUGCUUUCAUGGUUAGUGAACAUCCAAGUUAUUGAUUUAAAACACCACCAAUGGAAUCCUUAACUUUCCUUGAUCAAGUUCACUUGUAUUGCCUGAUCAAGUCGUAAUUUGUACUUCAAAGGCUUUUUCAGAUUUCAGGUUCACCCAACCAGGGGAAAGUAACUACAUGCUACUCAAUUUAUAACUUUCUGAAUAAAUAUGUUUCUUCAAAUACAUUAUGCAAUGUACUAACACACAAUAUCUAAUGCAUUUCCAUGACUAACUGGCAGUAUUCAGUUACUAAAGAUAAAGCUCCCUAUUUUCUGAAAAAGAUAUGAUGCACACAAUCAUCACACACCUUCUACUUAAAUUUCCUUCCCUUAAGUGCACGAAUAGAGAUGCAAAAAUGGAACAGCCACCAAGGUAGUGGCUCUUUCAUCAAAGUUAAACUUUAAGUCUAUCCAACUCUCAUAGAAAUUCCUCCAGCUAACAAAUUUCUGAUCUACUAAACUGAAAUGCACUAGAGGAAUGGGAGAGAUGGCAGAGGCUUAAUUGGAAAAUAAGUGGGCAAUUUAAACACCCAUCCCUAUAGAAGACAAUCUGAUGACCAUUUACCAGGAAACUAGCUCCACAGGAACAACCCAAAAAUUACCUAUCUGCCUCCGUAAUAAGUGAUGAAGAAAAAACUAAACUACCAAUAUGACAUGGAAACAAGUUGCAGAAGGUAGUACCAGAACAAAGGAUGCAUGUGAAAAUCGUGAACAAACUGCAUCCAUAAAGGAAUAACCACAAUCAACAGAAAUGCAAGGGAAGCAUAAAAGAUGAAGGACUUCUUCAUCUCAUGGUUUGCUCUCUCCCUAGAAAUGUCCACAAACUUGAAAUGUCCAGAGAUUUGAAAAAUCAGUUUCAAAAACAGAGGAAAGAGGAGGAGGCCAACUGUCAUGCCCUGCAUCAGAUACAAAAGUUCUCACCACAAGGUAAAUAUCAUUUAUAAUGCAUAUCUCUGCUCCAAAGGAAAGAGUAUUUUGGCAGUACUUUACCUGAAUAAUGGUACUUAUCUCACUUCUUUUGACAACAUAUUGCACAGGAAGAUAUCCUAAGGAUGUCCAAUACCCAAAAAUCUGUUCAGUCAGAGAAUUGCUUCUUGUAAGCAAAAAUAAGGAAAUGAAGAAAAUAAAGUUAUAUAAUCUGGCUAUUUUUGAGAAGCAAAAAAAUCAAACUUACCUUUGCAACAGUGUUUUGAAGCAUGUCUCCGAAAUAGAUAACAAGGCCAGAAGUAACCAAAAGUGCUUCUCCUAAAUAUAGAGAUAAUAAUCCCACCACUCAGAAGAUCAGGCAAUCAAGCAUAUUAGAAAAUACAGAAUUAUAGCAUCCAAUUCAAUUCAAAGUUGUUAAACGAGUACCUUCUGAAAACAAAUUAGAUUAAGCGCAGACAAUGUUGCUAAAGAACAGCAAGAAUAUCCUAUAAUUAAGAACACCUAUCAUUCUCGAACAGUGUAUCGGAUUAAUACUGAAACUCAUUUCUGUAUUGUAAGCGAAUUAGACACCAACAAUAUAGAGACAACUACCAAGUUGAAACACAAAGAAACUUGAUAUUUGUGCCAUUACUAGCAUUUUAAAUGGUGAUUAUAGUUUUCCUAAAGGUAAGGCUAGUAAACACUUUUAUUGAAGGUGAAAAAAUAUAGAUUACAUGUUUAUAGCUGGUUGUGCAGUUCAUCAUCUAAACGUCAAAGAUAGCUUUUUAUAUCUCACAGAUGACACACAUUCCUGUAAAAUCUUAAAUAACCUAAUGAAUCACAAAAGUAGCAGUAUUAAUACCUAUAUAGUCUUCUCGUUAUUUUUGUUUAUUAAGAAAAGGGCUAUUUUGCACCCUUCAAUUAUACCUGAUUUCCAAUGUGGUCCCUACACUUUAAAGUGGACACUCUAGUUCCUAAAGUAUAAAAUCUUCCCACCUUAGUCCCUGAAGUAUAUAAUUUGUCUGCUCAAGAAUAAAAUCUGUCCCAACUAAAGUAUAAAAAGCAUUAUGCUUUAGAGCUGUAGUUGAAUAAUUUUAUACUUGAGGGUUAAAGUAUCCUGCGGUAAAGAUUAGGGACCAAAGCCGAAUUUGGGUAUAGUUGAAGAGUGCAAGGUGGAAUUAAACAUUAAGAGAAAGGUGCAUCCAAUUAACAAAUCAAUACUUCACAGUAACAUAACCUACCAAUGGAAACGCAAGCUGGAAAUGUUCGAAGAAUUCUCUGAAUUAGUUUUGAUGCCACUAGUCCGUGAAAGACCACCCACAAUAACAUAAAUACCAUCUGCCACCCUGUGUAGAUAACGCAGGGCGAGGGAAGGAGCGCCACCAAGAGAGGAAAACAUAAGAUCAACAGAAACAAAGUAUCUAUCAGCAUGGAUUUUUAUCACUUAAAUCAGGAUAAUCCAAGCUAAAGAAUGUAUACAGUUCUUCCAGCACCCUAAACUUCAUAAGACAUUCUCAAAGACCUAUCAGCACCUACCAAACUGAUACUUAGCUGAGAAGGCAAUGCAGCAGAUUCCUGCACACAAGGCUAUGCAGCUUAAGCUAAACUUUUAUUCCAAUUACUGCAACUAUCAACAGAAGGAACACCAUUGUCUUGUCUCUGAAGAAUAACAUGCGAAGCAAACUAGCACACUGAAGCAACUGGCAAAGGUAGCCCAGUAUUGCAAUUGUAGAUUUUCAAGCUCUGUAUAAGGUAGAAGUAAAAACCAGUUAAUCACGUUAUAGGUCUUCUAUGCUAAUGCAAAAGACAAAGUAUACAAAUAAUGUGGCAAAAUGAUUCUGUGAUUCUUGUUCAUUGUGGUAGUUUCUGUUUUAAUACCUUGCAUCCUGAGAAAUUCAAAUCCACCGAAUUCAUACAUCAGUUUUGCAAUAUUACUGGAAAGAAAUUAUCCUGAGACUCAAUGUGAUGGUUUCAAUUUCUUGUCAAAUAAAUGCUAAUCCUCCUAAUGUUACUGUACUCAUUUUUUUCUUAGUAUAAUCCUAUUCUUGCCCCAAAUUAUGGAUAAUCACAAAGUACAAUGUGAAUGCUGGUGUUUCUUCAGCUAUCUAACUAAGAUUGAGUUUUAACUUUGUGCUUCAAAGACAACCCUAAACAUAACAAAGCUAGGCUGACCUGUUUUCUACAAUCCUAAGGUUGCAAGCUUUAAGUUUCUUUAAGCGAUAUAUAACAAGAAAUAGAUAAUGCUAAAGCCAAGAAACUUCUAAAAGCUAAUAAAGACCAUCCAAAUUUACCCUACUAUUAUAAAAGUCUUCCCUGAUCCAAAGUCAAAAUAAGUAAGAUCAGGUAAUAAGGGCAAUAUACAGAGAUAAGAAGAUGGGAAAUUGCACCCAUAAAGAACAACAGUUUCUUGAAAAUUCGUCUGUGGAAAUCACUUAUUUGCUUUUCAAAAUGUAGACAAGCUUAGAAAGUAGCUAGCAAAGUUGACACUACACAGGAUUUUUCCAAUGGUCCGGCGAUUGACCAUUUUGUUACUCAAAUUUCCAUAUCUGGUUCCUAAUCCAAAUUCGUUCAUCUUUAACAUAUCAAAAUUUUAAUUUAUUCCAGAAACGUCACAAAGCUUAGGUCUUGUGUAUGCAACAUUAUAGUAUACCUGCAACUCCAACCUCAUUUAAAGAUAACCCUCUCAGCAUUUGUAUCAACCUUGACAGCAUUAAUCCGGAAGUGUCACUGCCCCCAGCAGUAUCCCAGACGAUACACCUGGCCUACACAACAAUCAAUUUCACCCAAACCAAUAAAUGCAAUGCAAAAUCACCUCUAAAGUCGAACUUGACUAUUAAAAAAAUGUGGAUUACAAUUUAUUUCACAAUUACAAAAUUCUGGAGCUUCAAGAUUCUGAAGUAAGCCCCCCUAUUUCAGCUAACAAUUGUUAGAAAAAACACAGAAAUGGAAUAAUCUAACAGUUAAAUAUUGCAGAAUCCAGUUAAAACCCUAAUUCCGCAAUUUCUGCCAUUUGUGAAUGGAUUGACGCAUAAAAUACCUGGUUUUGAAGAACCGAGAAAAGGGAUCACGAUCAUGAUCAUGAUCGGCGGAGAUUUCCAGGGAUAGGGCAAAAAGAGAAAGAAUACCCAGAGCAAUGGAUUCAGCUAGGAGAGAAAUGGGCGCGGCGUAGAGGAUCCUAGCUAUGUAAAGCACCAACACCCCUCUUUCGCCGUUCAUCCACUGCAAAGCCGCCGGCACCGCCAUUCCUCCCAGCUCCUCCUCCAGGCCAAUGUUUCUUUUUUCCGGCUGAAGGUGGGAAAUUCCGUUUACUGGGAAGUUUUUUUUUUGGAAGAAUUCUGGGAAGAAAUUUAAAAACCGCGUUUUUAAGGUGAAACAAAUGGACCAGUAGACGAUGGGGACUUGGCGCGCACCAGGUUUAUCCAUGCCGUUGCCGUUAACAGUACGUUAAGGUUGGCCCACCGUUUUGGUUGGUUCCUUUCCCAAUGCAGUCAAUGAUUUCGGAAUAUUCCGAAUCAGGCUUCUGCUUCUACGAGCAAUUUACAUUUAGAACAAUAAAUACUCUAAUAAAAACACUACAACAAUAAUAUGUAAAAAUUAAAAAAAAUUAAGCACAAAUUUCAAUGAAUGAGAAAAUUUAUUGUAUUUUUAUAUAUUGCUACACUAAUGCGCACAUUUAUACUUGUUCUAGUAGUGUACUAGUGUCCAUACUGAACUAUAUAAUGUGGUAAUCUUGAUCCAAUGACCUUGAUUGGAGCUGCUCGAGUAGAAUUAGAUUGAAAUAGCUUAACAAGGUGAGUACAUGUUUUAAACAUAAGUGUAUAAUUUAUGAGAAUUAGAUGAAUACAUACAUAAUUUUAGGAAAAACCUAAACUCUUCAAUUAGUCUAUAUUUGUAAAUGGAUAAUAUUAAAAAAAAAAGUAGGAUCCCACUAUUUGUUAUCUUAUUUUUAUUCUCUUUUAUCUGGUAAAUUUCACGACUCUAAUAUUUUGUAAAGCAAUAUCACAACCUUGCGUCGCAUUGUUUGUUUGGAUUACCAUUUUUCUCUAAUUUUUUUUUCAUUUUUCGUGAAUAUAUUUUUUAAUGACCUUUAUAUAUCAUAUAUAUCAAAUCGCUAUAGUACAUAUUUCUAUAAAAACUCUAGAAAAUAGCAAUUGAAACGGACUAAAUAUCUAUAAAUAUAAGAUCAUAUGCUAAUUCUGCAUUGACCUGAUUUCCACCUCUAGAUUAAAAAGGGUGCACCACUGCACACCCUUUAAAUUUAAUGGAAAUCAUAUAUUAGUAACAAUUAAUAGAAGGCAAAGUUUCAAUCUUGACAUCCCACCCUAUAAAGGGCUUUAAAACCUUUUUUGCGGUGCCUAAUGUCUAUGACUUUGCAACCUAUAUAUCAAUCAACGAUGUGAUUAUUAUUAGCAAAGGGAAGGCAAAGAAAAGAUGUUAUUAUUGUUACCCAUGAAAUGCCAAUCUUGGUUGUAUUCGCUGUGUAGUUAGGCCUGUUCUCUUCAAUGUGCCUCACCACAAUUGAGCGGAUUAGCAUCUUAAUUGGCGCCCCAAUCGGGGUUUCUUAUUCUGCGUACAAUUUCGAGUAUUCAAGAAAAUAUGAAAGAGGGAAUGGUGUCAAUGAAUUCAAGAGAUCCACAGACCAUGCCAAAUGGAAUUCUAAGUCAUUUCACCAAUUCUAUGAAUAAGAUGCAAAGGGAAGAGAAUUUCUCAAGAUCAAAUGUAUUACAUUGGCUACUUGUUUAAUUAACCAGCCUCACCUGGCAACCUGAAUGCUUGUACAAUAUUCGCUCACUCCAUUUUCGCCCCUUCAAUUGCUUGUAAAAUAUUCAAUUUGUUCCAUUCCAUAAUAACGUUAAUGUCAAACCAAAUUAGGUUCCAAAAUCUUUUUGAAACACUAAUCAACUCUCAUUCCUUCACGUAUAUAAUUUUCUGGUGGGUUUGAACGAAAAGAAAAGUAAUCAAACAGUCGGGAAUUUUAACUUUUAUAUAAAUUGAGCUAAUUAAAGCCCGACUUUGCAGCAAUAUGGUAUGUGCUUUCACUGAACUAAGCCAAGAACCUUGAUUUGCUUGAGCAUUUGCCUAUUCGCGCAUAGGACACCAUUCUUUGUCAACACCAAUUGUGUGGAAUAAAUUUUUACAAUGAUUGAGAAUGUAUUGGAUUAGUGGCUAAACUUGAGAAUUGAGGAUUUACAGUUUGGUCUCAAAUGCCCCCUUCUCCCUUUCUGUUCUUUAAAUUCCAUCAUUCCUCUACUAAAAUAAUUUUAAAAAAUUAACAAUGGCGUAAGUACCAAAUUAACAUGCUCAAAUGAUUUUGACUUGGCUCAACUGCUUAGAAUUGUUUCUGAAUAAAAAUAUCAGGGGGCCUAUGAUGUCCGUUGACGUUGAAUAAAAAAGCGUUUUCGUCUCAAAUCCUCAAUGGUCUGCCAUGGCUGAAGUUUCGAUCAACUUUCAUAUAUGGUACAUUGCAUUAUUCCACAAAGAGAUCUUCACACAUGAAGCAGCUUUUCUAUAGUUGGCAAUAUAUAUGAGUCCCUCCUCCGGAAAGAAGGCUUCUUCGGUCAUACCAAUCUUGAUUAUGUCCAUAGACUCGAUUUAGUAUAUUUAGUAUGAGAUUUUCUAACCCUAUAACUUCUACGUAAAAAGCAAGUACACCCUAAACAUCCUCGCUAACUCUCUUCCAUACUCUUUCUUCUUCCUUUUUCUUCCUCACAGACAAUUGAUCAAGCUCAAAAAAAUGGCAAUUUCUCCCCAAAGGCCUCAUGCAAUCUUGGUUAGUUAUCCUCUACAAGGCCAUGUAAUCCCAUCGGUCCAUUUGGCCAUCAAGCUUGCUUCAAGAGGUUUCACCAUCACCUUCCUCAACACUCAAUCCAUACAUAACAACAUUACAUCAGGAGAUAAACCAUUAAUGGCCAAGGAGAUAUCUUUGCUGAAGUACGAAAAUCGGGACUCGAUAUUCGUUACACCACCGUGCCGACGGCCUUCUCUAGGAUUCGAUAGGUCACUCAAUCAUGACCAGUUCAUGGCUGCUUUGUUGCAUGUCUUCUCAGCUCAUGUUGAAGAGGAAGUUCAAAAGAUUGUCAAGUCUGGACCUCCUGUUAGUUAUUUGAUCGCUGAUACGUUCUUUGUAUGGCCUGGCAUGUUGGCUAAGAAAUAUGGACUUGUAUACAUUUCUCUUUGGACAGAGGCGGCUUUAGUUUUUUCAUUGUAUUAUCAUUUGGAUCUUUUGAGGCUCAAUGGCCACUUUGGUUGCAUAGGUACGUAAAUUUUCCUGUCAUCUGGAUCUUUUUGGGAUCUACAAACUACCAAGAUUUAAAGAGAAAGAAAGAAAAAAAUUACCAACUUCACCAUGUCAGAUAAAUGAAAACAAAAUAAUAUUCUGAACAAAGUCAAACUUUUUUUUUGGCCUGAUCACACUUUGAUACUCCUCCAGUGACUGACUUAUAAGAAUAUAGCGGGAAUUCAAUUUAUUUAUAGCCACUUGUUGAUGGUUGAAUAUUUGUUUUGUCUUUUUUUUUCCUACUAGACAUGCGUGAAGACCCCAUUGACUACAUUCCUGGUGUAAAACCAUUAGAACCCCUGGAUAUGCCAUCAUAUCUCCAAGAAAUGUACCCAUCAUCAGUAUGCCACAAAAUUAUCUAUAAGGCAUUCAAGGAUGCACAAGAUGCAGAUUUUGUACUAUGUAACACAGUAGAAGAACUCGAGCCCGAGACCAUAUCUGCUCUACAGGAGAAACUUCCAAUUUUUCCAGUCGGACCCCUAUUUCCAUCAGGGUUCACCAAGAGUUGUGUGGCCACGAGCCUGUGGUCCGAGUCAGACUGCUCCCAUUGGCUAGACACCAAACCUCCUGGCUCAGUUUUGUAUGUUUCAUUCGGUAGCUAUGCUCACGUCCAAAAAAGGGAUUUGUUGGAAAUAGCAAAUGGUAUACAAGAAAGCAAUAUUAGUUUUGUUUGGGUGCUUCGACCUGAUAUUGUUAGCUCUGAGGAUCGUAAUCCGUUGCCUGAUGGAUUCAGAGCUGCGACCAGUGACCGGGGGAUGGUCAUACCUUGGUGUUGUCAAAUAAAUGUGUUAAGGCACCCUGCAAUUGGAGGGUUCUUGACUCAUUGUGGUUGGAAUUCAAUUUUGGAAAGCAUUUGGUGUGAAGUUCCAUUAUUAUGUUUUCCUUUGUAUACUGACCAGUUUACUAAUCGGAAACUAGUGGUGGAUGAUUGGAAGAUUGGAGCUAAUCUUUAUGAUAGAGUAUCUGUUACUCAGGUUGAAGUUUCGCAGAAGAUCAACCGUUUGAUGAGUAAGAAAUCAGGGGAUGAGUUCAGAAAUGCAAUCAAGGUAGUGAAAAAGACAUUAGAAAAGGCAUUAAAAGAAGAUGGAUCGUCAGAGAAAAAUAUGGACCGAUUUAUCAGAGAUUUGAAGAUCACUCUUGAGAAGAAAAACCAAACGCAGAAGGUUGUUAAUUAGUUCCUGAGUGUUUUUAAGUAGUUUAAAAAUAUAAACUAGGUAUUCUUGAUAGUUCGUACUUCCAUACUGCAGGUUGUAUGAUAUUUUUCAAUUCAUGAAAAAAAUAACGCACACGUUCUAUUGCCUGGGAUUAUGUUGUCCGUGUAUCUAUAUACCUGUAACAAAUUAAUGCUCAAUCAAUAUUCAAUGAAAAUGAAAGCUCAAUCAACAUAGUUUUUUUUUUUUGGUCAAAAACGGCAACACAAUCAACAUAGUUAUUAGCCAAAACAUUCAUCUCGGACAUUCCAAAUAUAGAAAAUUGUUGUAUACUUCAUUGUUUAUAGUCGAAUAGAUGUAGGGGUGCCAAAGCUAAGUCAAGUUUGAGUAGCACCAUGCUCAAACUCGAACUCGAUCACUAUUAAUGUUAUUCGAUCUCGAUCUUAAGUUUGAACGAGUAUUUAAAUUUGAGCUCAAACUCGACUCAACAUAAUAGAGAUUAAACUCGAACUCGGCUCAUUUGAGCUCGAAUAAACUGUUGAUUGACAAAUUCUUACAAGCACAUAAGGUCAAUCGUAAUAAUAAUUUACCUGAAGUGUUCCAGAGUCGAACCCACAAGGACGAGUUAAUUUUCUACUUUAAUUAUUCUAACAAAAUAACAAAAUUCAAAUUUAAUGAGUGUAUUUUUUAACUAAGCAAUAAAAGAAACGAUCAAUUUAAAUAAAGUAGUGAAAAAACAAUAGAUGUAAGUCUAGGAUUUGAGAUUUUAAUCCAAAAUUUGAGUUAUUAUCUAGUUAAUUUCUUUCCAAAUUAGGAACGCUCAUCAUACGACUAUAUUUUAGACCACUUCUCAAAGCAUCUAAAGUGUGUUUAAUUAAACCCUACGUUUCUCUCGAUAGUCAUAAGAAUUUAAUUAAACCCAUUAAGAUUCUCAGUGAUAUAGGUGCGUCACACAUACCCUAACCUACUAUCGUGAUUAGUCUAUAUGUGUUUAUUUAUCUAGUACACAGUUGUAUCUUUUCUCAAUUUGACAUACACCCAACAUUCUUGUUUAUGGUGAUCAGGCAUAAACAAACAUUAAGAACAAGAUAAAUAAAUCAUAGUAAAGAGCAAGGAAUUAAACUAAGAAAAUGAAUCAAGUUCUUUCAUAAAAACCCUAACCCUAAAAACAAUUUAGUUCAAUAUGAUUUAGAAAUUAAAACUACGAAUUCAAAGAGUUGAUACAAAGAUAAGAGAAAAAGUAAGAAAACUUCUCAGUUGCUUGUUCCAAUCUUCUCCUUGCGCGCUCCUUGAUUAGCCUCUUUGAUCUUGAUCUCUCAAGAAUAAACUAUGAAAAGAUGUUAAAACUAGGCUAGGCUAAUGCUUUCCACCCUUAAAAACGACCUAAAGAACCCCUAUUUAUAGUUUCUUGAAAAUAUAUUCUAAACAAAGUAGGAAUAGACUCUAUUGGACUAGAAAAAUCAGUUUUUUGAACAUUUAUUCAAUGAAAACCGGCCCAAUGAUGGGCCCAAUAUCCGCGCUGGUCAUUGGGUUGAGCCAAAGGAUGUGGAGGUGUCUGGCGCGAAACAUGGAUCCAUUGGCGGAUUGGUACGGAUCCGCACAUGGAUCCUCUUUGAAGUCUCAAAACUCCAACACUGCAAUAAUCAAGUCAUUUGGAGGUUUGGAUGUUAAGAUAUGCCUAAAAUACUGAGACCUAGUUGUAAGAGCAUCAUAGUGCAACUAUAUUUCAGUAUUUAGAUUUUUAACUAUAAAAAUGUGAGAACCAAACUUUGAAGUCCCCGUAAAGGUUAUAGAGAAUUCUCUUAGCUUCAAAUUGAAUUAAGAAUCAUCUUAAUCAGAUUUAUGUAGCUCAAGUUAUCACCAAAUUACUAAAACAUAUCAAUUGUGCAAAAUCCGUUACUCCUGACUUUUUCCUCUCCAUUGCUUCUUCACAUCACGUUUUUAGUCCGUUUUCUCUCUAAUUGAGUUUUCACCUAUUAGAACACUAUAAAAGUAAAUUAAGUAGUUUCUAUUCAACAUAAAGUUCAAACAACAUGGUUAUCUAGCAACUUAUGCAUGUAAAUGUACUACAAUUUACAUCUUACAUCCUAUCAACUGCAAACCUUAUCAAGUUCAAGGUCGAGUUUUUCUUUUCUUGUUUUUAAUUUUUUUACAUUUUAGAUUUAUUAGAAUCAUUUGCCAUCCAUCAUUUUUUUACUAAGCAUUAUUUCAUGUAAAUUUAUUAAAAUAUGAACUCAUAAUAAUCAUUCCAUAAUUAUAAUAUAUACUAUAUAAAUAAUAUAAUACUCGAUUAAUCUCGUCAAAUAUUUGAAUAGUUAUUAUUGAUACUCAAGCUCGACUCAUUACACAGAACCAGUAGCUUAAACUUGAGCUCGAACUCGAUCAAUCAAUCUUUUGACCAUGGCUUGACUAGCCCACAUCCCUAUAUUGGCGUAUCGAAACUUACAAAAAAAAAAAAAGAAUUAAGUGUCUCGAAAGAUGAACCAUGUAUUGGAGUUUGGAAUAUUCGGCAUGGAUAAGAACAAGAACGAAACAAAAAUAAACUAAUGUCUAGGAAAGAGAAAUCCGUCAGUGUCAUCUGCAUUCUCCACUCAAUUUGAUUUACGUGAUAAGCUUCUCCUGCAAUUUGAUAAAUUAGACAUCUCUUUACGUUAUUGAACACAUUUUGUCUCAUCUUUGGCCUCCCUUCAACCUCCGUUUGCAACUCUACAACUCAAUCUAGCUCAUUCACAAAAAAAGGUUCAUUGUUAAGAAAAGAUUUAAAAAUGGAUUGUAUACAACAGAAGCCUCAUGCCAUCUUAGUAUGCUUUCCACUACAAGGCCAUCUUAAUCCUGCAGUCCAGUUAGCGAUCAAGCUAGCAUCAAAAGGUUUCACCAUAACCUUCAUCAACACUCAAUCCAUACAUCACCAAAUCACCUCCAACACUCAAAAGGACAGCGAUGAAGACAUCUUUUCUGAUGCAAGGAAAUCAGGACUUGAUAUUCAUUACACCACCGUGUCCGAUGGUCUUCCUCUAGAGUUUGAUAGGUCACUCAACCAUGAUCAGUUCAUGGCUGCAAUGUUCCAUGUCUUCUCUGCUCACAUAGACGAAGCUGUUCAAAGACUUAUGGAAUCAGGACCUCCAGUGAGUUGCGUGAUUGCUGAUUCAUUCCUUGUGCAGCUUGGGCGUGUUGCAAAGAAACAUGGACUUCUGUAUGCUUCUUUCUGGACACAACCAGCUACAGUUUUCACCAUUUACUAUCAUCUGGAUCUUUUGAGAUUAAAUGGUCACUUCGAUUGCAUUGGUAGUCUCUCUCCCCUCUCCCUAUAAGCGUAUUAUUACCUGAGCAAAAUUCAAUCGCAUCAAAAAGUAUAUUCCGCUAAGACUUAAGCUUUCUUGUGAUCAGACAGGCGCGAGGAUGCAAUAGACUACAUACCAGGGGUUCAAUCCAUUGAGCCUAAGGAUUUGACGUCAUAUCUUCAAGAAGAGGAGACAAACACAAUCUGUCAUCAGAUCACUUUCAAGGCAAUCCACGAUGCAAAGAAAGCAGAUUUUGUGUUAAGCAACAAUAUACACGAACUAGAACUCCAAGCCAUGACAGAUCUCCGGAAAAAAGUGCCUUUUUACGCUAUAGGACCCCUAUUGGAAUUCACCAAAUGCCGUGUGGCAGUGGCCACAAGCCUUUGGUCCAAGUCUGACUGCACUCAGUGGCUCGAUACCAAGCCUACUGGCUCAGUUUUGUACAUUUCCUUUGGAAGCUAUGCUCAUGUUACAAAGAAUGAACUACAGGAGAUAGCUGACGGUGUUAAACUAAGCCAAGUAACUUUUGUUUGGGUGCUUCGUCCUGAUAUUGUAAGCUCUAAUGAUUCUGAUCCAUUGCCUAAAGGGUUCAGGGAAGAAACUGGCGACCGUGGGAUGAUCAUACCCUGGUGCUUCCAGAACCAAGUUUUGAGUCACCCUGCAAUUGGGGGAUUCUUCACUCAGUGUGGUUGGAGCUCAAUUUUGGAAAGCAUUUGGUAUGCAGUACCUUUAAUGUUUUCCACUCAUCGCUGAUCAACCCACUAAUCGCAAACUAGUGGUUGAUUGGAAGAUUGGAAUCAAUCUUUGCGACAAAAGCCAGAUCACUAAGCUUGAAGUAUCAGAGAAGAUUAACAUUCUUAUCAAAUCAGGCAACCAUGAGCUCAAAAACAUAAUCAAGGAACUAAGAAAGGACAAUGGAACACGCUGUGUCAAGAGAAGGAUCAUCGGAAAGAAACAUGGAUCAGUUCAUCAAUGAUUUUCAUCAAGCUAUUC